rnacentral:lncRNA from 1 species
CAGUUGGUUGGGUUCCCCUGUUUCUGUUGAAAGCUCUUGUCCUAUCCAACUGUAAGCUCAUCGGUGAUCCUGGUUUCCUUCGACACCAAUUAAGAUUAACCGUGGUUGAUCUCUCCCAUAAUAAUUAGACUGGAAGUUUCCCCAUUUGGCUGCUUGAUAACAAUACAAGACUAGGAUCUCUAGUUCUGAGGAAUAACUCUUUAAUGGGUCAACUACUUCCCCUGAGACCUAAUAGUCGUAUCACUUUAUUGGAUAUCUCAGACAACCGACUUCAUGGGGAACUUCAACAAAAUGUGGCCAAUAUGAUUCCAAAUAUUGAGUUUCUAAAUUUAUCCAACAAUCAUCCCCUUCAUUUCAUCCAUAUUUGGAUCUACCUUUAAAUCUCUAUUGCAUACAACCCAUAUAUGAUUCCCUCUAAAUUUAGCCUUCAUUUCUUGCUAAGAGGUUUUAAAAGCCAGCAAUUUAAUUUACUUUCAUCCUCUAGAUUGAUGAGAACUCUUAUAUUUAUCCAAUGAUAGGUAACAUUUUUGCAAAUGCUUUUAUUUGAUUUUUUUAAUUGGUCUUAAAAAUAAGUGUUAAUAAAGAUCCACAAUAUAAAAUAAUAAAUUACAUCUCAAUUGACCUCAAGAUACUAUUUACUUCUACUAACUCAUUUUACAUCUUAAUUGUUCUUAAAAAGUCUAUAAUGGUAAUUAACUAUAGAAUUCAAGUUUUAAUUAUGCAAAAAAUAUAUAAAGGUUUUUAAAGUUAAUAGAAAAAGAGAUUCUGAUAAAUAAUAAGUAGAUUGAAACAUUUAUUUCUAGAAGUAGAGAAAGAUGGAGGAUCAUAAAAGUUGAAAAAAGAAUAAUUUGGAAGUCAUAAAAUUUUGGAAAAAGAAUAAUUCAUAGAGACCUCAUUAACAACAAGUAACAACUAAUUGUAAGUAACCAUGAAAAAAGUAAGGAGAAAAAUAAAGGAAAAUCAAGGAAAGUGACAAAUUUUUUCAUCCCCAUAAAAAAUGAUAAGGAAGAAAAAGGUGAAGAAAGUUUAAAGAAAGUAUAUUUUUCAAAAAUUGAAUUUUCUUUCCCUUAAAGUUGGUAUGGACAACCAAACAAGAAAAUGAUUUUUAAAUUCUUUUUUGACCUUUUUCUAUCAUUCUUUUUUUUUUCCUUACUCUAUUUCCUUUCCCUCAAACUUUCUAGGUAGUAAACAUUACCUAAGAUAAAUAGAGAAGAAAAUAUUUUAUCAUUUAUUUAUUUAGUAUUUUUUUUACCUUUUUUUGUAUUUUAUCCAAAUAUAAGAAAACUAUUUUUCUUUAUUUUUUCUUUUCCUUGUUGCUUUUCAAGAAUCAAGCAUACUUUAAACUUUAAUUAAGAGUUACAUAGAUUUACGGAGAAACAAUGCAACUGGUAACAAAAAAUUAAGGAAAUUUAAUUUUUGAGAGUAAGUAUAAUGAGAUUGGUUUGUUUGAUACAAAAUUUGAAUAAAAAUUCUUUCAAUGAAAAUUCAAGGAAAGGAAAAAAAACAAAUUUAUCUCUAGACUAUAAUACUAAAUCACUUAAAAAAAACUCCUAACAUCGUUUAUGUUCAUCUUUCUUUUUAUGGAUUUGAAAAACCCAAUAAUUUGGAGAAAACUGAUUCAAGGAAGAAUAAUUUUUAGAAUAAAAGAUUAUUAUUUAAGAAGAUCAUAAAUAUUAUAGUCAUUGUUGAAUAUGAUAAAUGAUUAAAAAAAAAAAAGGUAGUAGGAAAUUUGGAUACUUUUAUAAGACAAAUGCAUUUUUCUAGUAUGGUAUGAAAAAAAGGUAAAAUGAUAGGCUUUGAUCAUUUUUUAAGGUAGUUUGUUUAAAUCAUUUUAAUUUAUUUUGAUUUAAUAACAAUAACUUUUAUUACACUAGUUAUUUUGAUUUUCUUUUGAUAGAUUUUGCAAGCUUAAGCAAUUUGGAGGUAUUGGAUUUGAGUGGUAAUUCAUUUAGUGGGAUCGUUCCAUCGUCUAUAAGAUUGUUGUCUUCUCUCAAGUCUUUAUCUCUGGCUGGAAAUCACCUCAAUGGUUCCUUAGCAAAUCAAGGUACAUAUAUUGUGAUUACAGGUUUUUCUAUUUUCUUUUUUAAUAUCUUGUUUGUUCUUUAUGCCAAUGAAGUCAUGCAUGUCUAUUAAUUUUUGGUAUUUAAUAAAAAACUUUAUUCUUAAUUCAUGAAGACCUCAUCAACUGUAAGUAACAACUAGUUGUAAAUUUGGGGGCAUUGAUAAGACGAGGAGAUGAUUGGUUACAUGUCUUAUCACUACUACAAAAAUUGAAAUUAAUGACGCUUUAUUUUAUGACGCUUUCUAAAAGCGUCAUUAUUGAGGGUAUACAAUGACGCUUAUAAGAAGUGUCAUAGUUGUAUUAUUUAUCUUGAUACUGAUUAUAAGUGUCAUUAUUUGAUGUCAUCUUUUUCCUUGUAACUGUGUAUAUAAUGACGCUUAUAAGAAGCGUCAUAGUUUUAUUAUUUACCUUGACACUUAUUAUAAGCAUCAUUAUUUGAUGGGUAUGUAAUGACGUUCUUGAGAAGUGUCAUAGUUGUAUUGACUUUUAAAAUUUUUGUUUUUAAGUUAACUUAUACAAAUUUUGAUAUUAGAAUAUUAUUCUAUAAAUUAAUUAUGGUAAAUUGACAUUAAUAUUAAUGACAUAAAGUUGCUACAUUAAGGUUUUUUUAAAAAAAUUUGGAUAUAAAUAAAAUAAAAUCCUAAUAAAUUAUUUUUUUAUUGUUUGAUAUUAAUUUUUUUAUAGUUUGUAUCAAUACAAUCUAUUUUCAUAAACUAUUUUUCAUUUUUAUUAAAUUAGAAAUUAUCUUAUAUUUCAUUUAAAAAUAAUUUGUUAAUUUAUUUGUGGACCACAAAAAAGUGGCCUAUUUUGAGCACUUGUUCGAGCCUUGGGCCACAUUUAUUGGGUUUAACCCUUUUAUUUGAGAAGGUUUUAUAGUUAAUGAAUAUAAAUUUGAAAUUAUUUAACUAAAAUGAAAUAAAUUAAUAUUUAAAUUAAUUUAAUGAUGAUUAGACUCACAAUAAAACUAAAUGCAAUAAGAAUAUUUAUAAAAACUUUCUAAUAUUUAUGGGAAUUAAGCUCAUUCUAUUAAAUUAGUUUUUUUUUUAAAUAUCAAUAUUCAAAUUAAACCAAUAUCAACCUAAAAUAUCAAAUAAUUAAACAAUAUAAAUUUAUUAUGAGUUCAAUAUAUAAAAAUUAUUAUUGGAAGAUGAAAUAAAGAAUACUAUUUUAAUUUAUUGAAAAAGGACAUGCAUGAUAUUUUAGAAUUUGUUAUAAAGUCUCCAUUGAAAACCCUAACUUUUGGAAGACAAGAAAGAAGGGAGAGAGCCACCGUUUUUAGUGAGAAAGAAGAGAAGAGAGAAAAAUGCAAGUUUUUCUCAUCAGGCCCAGAUUUCAUCAAAGGUCUGAUCCCACUUUGUCCGUGGUCCGAUCGAGCUGAAAUUUGGAGGAGAGUUUCGUGACUCAUUUAUCUUCAAUCUGAACGGUGAAGAUCGGAUUUGGAGUUUCGGAAAGUCAUUAGAAAGAAAGAGGAGAAGAGAGAAAAACGUAGGUUUUUCUCAUCAUGCCCAGAUUUUAUCAAAUGUCCGAUCCCGCUUCGUCCGUGGUCCGAUCGAGUUGAAAUUUGAAGGAGAGGUUUGUGGCUCAUGUAUCUUCAAUAUGAACGGUGGAGAUCUGAUUUGGAGUUUCGGACAGUCAUUAGAGAGAAAGAGGAGAAGAGAGAAAAACUUAGGUUUUUCUCAUCGUGCCCAGAUUUCAUCAAAUGUCUGAUCCCGCUUCGUCCGUGGUCCGAUCGAGUUGAAAUUUGAAGGAGAGGUUCGUGGCUCAUGUAUAUUCAAUAUGAACGGUGGAGAUCGGAUUUGGAGUUUUGGACAGUCAUUAGAGAGAAAGAGGAGAAGAGAGAAAAACAGUGGUUUUUUUAUAUCAUGCCCAGAUUUCAUCAAAGGUUCAAUGCCGCUUUUUUCAUGGUCUGAUUGAGCUGAAAUUUGGAGGAGAGGUUCAUAAGUCAUUAAUCUUAAAUUUGAACGGUGAAGAUCGGAUUUAGAGUUUUGGAAAGUCAUCUUUCAGCCAAAAACAAAACCUUUAUUUUAUCAAAGAUGGCGCUUCCUGAAAGUGUCAUUGUUGCCUAAGACAUACAAUGACAGAGGCGAAGAGGACGCUUUAGAGAAGCGUCAUCUGUUACCUUUCUUGACGCUUAAAAAACGUCAUAGUUUCCCAUUUUUCUUGUAGUGUAUUCUCUUUUGUAAGCUUCUGCCAAUUGAAUAAGCUUCAAGAGUUAGAUCUUUCUUACAACUUAUUCCAAGGGAUCCUUCCUCCAUGUUUGAAUAAUUUGACAUCUUUGAGGUUAUUGGAUCUCUCUUCCAACCUAUUCUCCGAAAAUCUUUCUUCCCCUCUGUUACCUAAUCUCACAUCCCUGGAGUACAUCGAUCUCAGUUACAAUCAUUUUGAGGGUUCAUUCUCUUUCAGCUCUUUUACUAAUCACUCCAACCUUCAAGUGGUCAAACUUGGAAGGAAUAACAACAAGUUUGAGGUAGAAACUGAAUAUCCAGUUGGUUGGGUUCCCCUGUUUCUGUUGAAAGCUCUUAUCCUAUCCAACUGUAAGCUCAUCGGUGAUCCUGGUUUCCUUCGACACCAAUUAAGAUUAACCGUGGUUGAUCUCUCCCAUAAUAAUUAGACUGGAAGUUUCCCCAUUUGGCUGCUUGAUAACAAUACAAGACUAGGAUCUCUAGUUCUGAGGAAUAACUCUUUAAUGGGUCAACUACUUCCCCUGAGACCUAAUAGUCGUAUCACUUUAUUGGAUAUCUCAGACAACCGACUUCAUGGGGAACUUCAACAAAAUGUGGCCAAUAUGAUUCCAAAUAUUGAGUUUCUAAAUUUAUCCAACAAUGGUUUUGAAGGUAUUCUCCCAUCCUCAAUAGCCGAAAUGAGUUCCUUACAGUCAUUAUAUUUGUCUGCUAAUAGUUUCUCAGGGGAAGUACCAAAACAAUUGCUUGCGGCAAAAUAUUUGUGGCUUCUGAAAUUAUCAAAUUAUAAAUUUCAUGGCGAAAUAUUUUCAAGGGACUUUAACUUGACUCAGUUAGGGUUUUUGCAUUUGGACAAUAAUCAGUUCAAGGGAACACUGUCAAAUGUAAUCUCCAGAAUCUCUAGGUUAUGGGUGUUGGAUAGGUAACAUGACCGAUUUGACUACACUGGUGUUGGGCAACAAUAGUUUUAAAGGCAAAUUACCACCUGAGAUUUCUCAAUUGUUGGGGAUGAUAUUUCUUGACGUUUCUCAAAACGCUCUUUUAGGAUCUCUUCCUUCUUUGAAGAGCCUGGAGUAUUUAGAUACCCAGAGAUUGAUACCCAGAGAUUUUCUCAAUUCCUCAUAUCUAUUGACUUUGGAUAUCAGAGACAACAGGUUAUUUGGAAGUAUUCCCUAUUCAAUCUCUAGACUUUUAGAGCUAAGAGGAAACCUUUUAAGUGAUUUCAUUCCAUAUCAGCUUUGUCAUUUGACUAAAAUAAGCUUGAUGGAUAUUUCAAACAACAAUUUUUCUGGGUCAAUUCCCGGAUGCUUUGGUCAUAUCGGAUUUGGAGAUUUCAAAACUGAGCACAAUGUGUAUAUACCGAUGUUGGAUUCGUAUUCAGAAAGCAAUCCUUCUAUAUAUACGGGUUACUUAAUAAAAUAUUUAUUUUUCUCUAGUGAACUCCCUGAUGAAGUAGAUGAAGUUGAGUUUGUUACCAAGAAUAGGUAUAGCUCCUACAGAGUAGAUAAAAAUAUUUGUUGGGAAUUUAGAUAUUUUUAUAGGAAAGUAGACAAGUAUUCUAAUUUAUAAAAACAAUGCAUUUCUUUAGUUUGGUAUAAAAAAAAAUGAAACGAUAGGUAUUGGUAUUUUUUUUAAAGCAACAAACGUUUUAUUUUAUUUGUAUUUAAGAACAAUGUCUUUUCUUAUACUAGUUAUUUUAAUUUUCUUUUGACAGAUUUUGCAAGCUUAAGCAAUUUGGAGAUACUAGAUUUGAGUUCUAAUUCCUUAAGUGGGAUUAUUCCAUCAUCUAUAAGAUUGAUGUCUCAUCUCAAGUCUUUAUCCUUGGCCGGAAAUCAGCUCAAUGGUUCUUUACAAAAUCAAGGUACAUAUGUUAUGAUUUGUUUGUUUCAUAUGGAUUAGAGAAGAUGAAUAUUGUAAAAAAAAAGUUGUAGUUAAUGUAAGCUAGAAAUAAGUAUCUUGCCUUAUAAAUUAUAUGAGCAUGUGUUUGUUCUUAAUGAAUCUUUACAACAUUUAGAGUUACCAAUGUUUAUAAUUCAUAAAGACCUCAUUAACCGUGAGUAACAACUAAUUGUAAGUAAUUGUGGAAAAAGUAAGGAAAACAAAAUGAGGGAAAAGCAAGGAAUUAGGAAAUUAUUUUGUUCCCAUUAAAAAAUGCUAAGGAAGAAAAAGGUAAAAGAAAGUUUAAAAAAAGUGUAUUUUUCAAAAAUUUAUUUCUCUUUCCUUUAAUUUUGCUAUGGACAACCAAACAAGAAAAUUAUUUUAUAAUUCCUUUUUUAUUUUUUUCAUUCUCUCUCUCUUUUUUCCCCUACUCUAUUUCUUUUCCCUCAAACUUUCUUGGUAGUAAACACAACCUAAGAUAAAAUGGGGAAGAAAAUUUUCAGUUUUUUUUUUAUUUUUUUAGAAUGUUUUCUUACUUUUUAGUAUUUUAUGCAAAUAUAGGAAAAUUAUUUUUUUUUCUUUUUUUUUCUUGCUCCUUUUCGGACAUGAAUCACACUUUAAAAGAAAAUUAAUUUUUAAUUAGGAGUUAAGAUAAAUUUAAGGAGAAACAGUGAAUCACGAAUAACAAAAAAAUAAGGAAAUUGAAUUUUUGAAAGUAAGUAUAAUCAAAUUGCUUCAUUUGAUACAAAAUUUGAAUAAAAAUUCUUUCAAGGAAAGGAAAAAACAUUUUUGUCUCUAGAUUAUAAUACUAAAUCAUGUAAAAAAUCUCUUAACAUCAUUUAUAUUCAUAUUUAUUUUUGUAGAUUUGAAAAAUUCAACAAUUUGGAAUAAACUUAUUCAAUGAAUAAUAAUUUUUAGAUUUAAAGAUUAUUAUUUAAGAUCAUAAAUAUUACCAUGAUUGUUGAUGUCUAAGAAGAUCAUAUUCAACAAUUUUUUUAAUAUGUUGUUUUUUUAUGGUAAUUAAUUGAUGUCUUGUAAUUUUUAAUAUUUAAUGAAAAACAUUAUUUUAAUUCAUCUAGAGCUCUUAAUUCAUGAAGACCUCAUUAAUGGUGAGUAAUAGUUGGCUGUAAGUUUGGAGUCAAAGACAUGUCAAGGAGAUGAUUAGUUACAUGUCUUAUUCUCUUUUGUAGGUUUCUGUCAAUUGAAUAAGCUUCAAGAGUUAGAUCUUUCUUACAACUUAUUCCAAGGGAUCCUUCCUCCAUGUUUGAAUAAUUUGACAUCUCUAAGGUUAUUGGAUCUCUCUGUCAACCUAUUCUCCGGAAAUCUUUCUUCUCCUUUAUUACCUAAUCUCACAUCCCUGGAGUACAUCGAUCUCAGUUACAAUCAGUUUGAGGGUUCAUUCUCUUUCAGCUCUUUUGCUAAUCACUCAAAGCUUCAAAUGGUCAAACUUGGAAUGAAUAACAACAAAUUUGAGGUAGAAACUGAAUAUCCAAUUGGUUGGGUUCCCUUGUUUCAAUUGAAGGCUCUUUCGCUAGACAGCUGUAAGCUCACCGGCGACCUUCCUAGUUUUCUUCAAUACCAAUUCAGGUUAGUGGGGGUUGAUCUCUCACAUAAUAACUUGACAGGAAGUUUUCCCAAUUGGCUGCUUGAAAACAAUACGAGACUAAAAUCUCUAGUUCUGAGGAAUAACUCUUUAAUGGGUCAAUUACUUCCCUUGGAACGUAAUACCCGUAUCCAUUCAUUGGAUAUCUCACACAAUCAGUUGGAUGGACAACUUCAAGAAAAUGUGGCCCAUAUGAUUCCAAAUAUGAAAUAUCUAAAUUUAUCCGACAAUGGUUUUGAGGGUAUUCUCCCAUCCUCAAUAGUUGAACUAAGAGCCUUAUGGUAUUUGGAUUUGUCUACCAAUAAUUUCUCUGGAGAAGUACCAAAGCAAUUGCUUGCAGCAAAAGAUUUGGGGGUUUUGAAAUUAUCAAAUAAUAAAUUUCAUGGUGAAAUAUUUUCAAGGGACUUUAACUUGAUUAGGUUGGAAGUUUUGUAUUUGGGCAAUAAUCAGUUGACGGGAACUCUGUCAAAUGUAAUCUCUAAAAGCUCUUGGUUGGGGGUGUUGGAUGUGAGCAACAACUACAUGUCAGGUGAAAUUCCAAGCCAGAUAGGUAACAUGACCUAUUUGACUACACUGGUGUUGGGCAACAAUAGUUUUAAAGGCAAAUUACCACCCGAGAUUUCUCAAUUGUGGGGUUUGGAGUUUCUUGACGUUUCUCAAAAUGCUCUUUCAGGAUCUCUUCCUUGUUUGAAGACCAUGGAGAGUUUAAAGCAUCUACAUUUGCAAGGGAACAUGUUUACAGGAUUAAUACCCAGAGAUUUUCUCAAUUCCUCACAUUUAUUGACUUUGGAUAUGCGAGAUAACAGGUUAUUUGGAAGUAUUCCCAAUUCAAUCUCUGCACUUUUGAAGCAGCUAAGGAUUUUUUUGCUGGGAGGAAACCUUUUAAGUGGUUUUAUUCCAAAUCAUCUUUGUCAUUUGACUGAAAUAAGCUUGAUGGAUCUUUCAAACAACUCUUUUUCAGGGCCAAUUCCCAAAUGCUUUGGCCAUAUCCGAUUUGGGGAGAUGAAAAAGGAAGACAACGUGUUUGGACAGUUCAUUGAAAUUAGGUAUGGAAUGGAUUCUCAUCUUGUAUAUGCAGGUUACUUGGUGAAAUAUUGGGAGGACUUAAGUUCAGUAUAUAAGGGAAAAGAUGAAGUUGAGUUUGUGACCAAGAACAGGCGUGACUUCUACAGAGGUGGCAUCCUUGAAUUCAUGUCUGGAUUGGACUUAUCAUGUAACAACUUGACAGGCGAAAUACCUCAUGAACUUGGAAUGCUAAGUUGGAUUCGUGCAUUGAACUUGUCUCACAAUCAAUUGAAUGGCUCCAUUCCAAAGAGUUUCUCCGAUCUUUCUCAAAUAGAGAGCUUAGACCUUUCUUAUAAUAAAUUGGGUGGAGAAAUUCCUCUAGAGCUAGUUGAACUCAAUUUUUUAGCGGUGUUUAGUGUGGCUUACAACAACAUCUCUGGUAGAGUUCCAAAUGCCAAAGCACAAUUUGCAACAUUUGAUGAAAGCAGCUAUGAAGGUAAUCCUUUCCUUUGUGGGGAACUAUUAAAGAGGAAAUGCAACACAAGUAUUGAGUCACCAUGCGCACCAUCACAGUCUUUUGAAAGUGAGACAAAAUGGUAUGAUAUCAAUCAUGUUGUUUUCUUUGCAAGUUUUACUACUUCAUAUAUCAUGAUCUUGUUAGGAUUUGUUACCAUCCUUUACAUCAAUCCUUAUUGGCGUCAUAGAUGGUUCAAUUUUAUUGAGGAAUGUGUAUAUUCCUGCUAUUAUUUUGUUUUUGAUAGUCUUUCCAAGUUCUCAGCAUAUUUGUAUAAUUAGAUACUUUUAAUUGGAUGAUGUUUGCAUAAUUAACUACUAUUUGUUUCCAUGGGAUAAAAAGAAAUGGGAUUAUAAUUGCUAUGAGUUGAAACUUACAUACUUUGCUCAAAUUCUAACAUCUUUUGAUUUUAUUUUCAAGUUCCGUUAUUUAUUAUGUAUUGUUUAAUUCAAGAUUUAACCAUAUUAUGCUACUCUUAUAAAAACAAAUUCAAAUUUUUAGGAACUUAGCAUUAAAAUAAUUUCAUAGUCAGAUUUUUAAAAAUAAAGAAGAAAGAAAAUAAUAAAUAAUUAGAAAAACAAUUCAAGGGAGUAUUAAAUUAUUAUCUUAGAAUUGUUUGGCGUAGUAUGGGAAUUCAAAAAUAAUCUUUCAAUUUGUUAGAAAUGUUUAUUUAUUUAUUAUAGCAAUGAUUGAAAUAUCAAUCACAAAGUAAUGUUUUCUUUUCUUUUGUAGGGCACUAACAUUUUUUCUUUGAUUGUAAUAAUUGAUAAAUAUAUUACACAAUUAUUUGUUUUAAAGAGGGGAGGGAUGACAAACAUAAUAACAUGUGAAAUAUUUCUAAAACUGUGAUGGGAAAUAAACCAUCUAAUUAGGGUGCAAUAUUAUUCAUUUUAAUUUAUAUGAAUUUACUUAUUUUUAUUUCCAUCAUAUUUUGAACUAUUUUUUGAAAUUAAGGGAGAUUAAAACAUCAUGAAUUUCUUAGUUUAAUUUAUAUUUUUAAUAAUAAAGCAUGAAAUAUUUAAAAAAAAAAAAGAAAAUCAUGAAUUUCUUUAAUUCCUUAGGAAACCAAUAUAUAAAAAAAGUUGAAUAUAUUAUUAUUUUAUAUCCUAAAUUUCUAAAUUUGUUCAUCACGUAUUUAUUUUUAUAUUAAAUUUAUUAUCAAUAAUUAUUUAUUAUAUAUUAUUAUUUUAUAUUUAAAAAUGUUCAUAAAUAAUUAAAAUUAAUAAAUAUAAAAAAUGAAAUAUUAAAAAAUUAAAUUAAAAAGAUUUCAUCAAGCUAACAUAUUUUGAUAAAAAAAAAAAGAGUAAAAAAGAAGAUGGGGAUAUUAUAGAGGUGGGGAAAAAGAUAAAAGAAAAAUCAUGUGGUAUAAUAAUUGCCACGUGUUAAAGUUAUUUUCUUUAAAAAUUAAUUAUAGUAAUGAUGAACUCAUUUGUCUUAUCAAAGUAAAUAAAAAUAAAUAAAUAAAAGAAAAAAAGAAAAAGAAAAAAAGUGGUGGUUGAUUGGAGGUUAGAGAGGAGGGUUUGAAGGUAAAUUUGGAAUAUUGAUUAUUUUCACUAAGUAGAUAUUUUGAAAGUUAUUUUCAAUGUUUUAAAAACCGGACCGGCCGGUCCGACCGGUCCAACCGUCGACCGGUCACCAUUCCGGUCCGAUCCGGUCAUUUGGACCGGAUUGAGAUCGAACCGGAGUUGAACCGCUCGAACCAGCGGUUCAACCGCUGAACCGGACAAACCGAUCGGUUCCAAGGGAACCGGCCAAUUCAAAUAAUUUUAAUUUUAAAAAAAAAAUUACACAAUAAAAAUAUUACUGUGGGUAAGCUGCAAGCAUGAAAGGUAGGAUUCCAUGUUGGGCCUGUCUUGUGACAAGCCCACACACCCACUCCAAUUACCCUGGGCCUCUUUUUUGAGCCCACAAGAUCAUGCCAAGGCUUUGCUGAGGAUGGCUUUUAUAGGAGUCAUUUGACUCCUUGUUCCUCUCAUAUUCCGAUGUGGGAUUGCAUUUUAUCAAUGAAAAAAAACAUAACAAACAUAACAAAACUCCACCAACAGAAUUUGAACCUUGGACCAAUCUUUAACUCUAGUCCACCUAGGAAACCACUCGGCUACAUGUGUUUUAUCAUCUAAUGUGCCAAACAAAAUAAUAUAUAUUAGAUUUUAAAUUUUUUUAUAAUAUUAAAUAAAAAUAAUAUAAUAUUUUUAAAAAUUAUGAAAUUAGUUUAAAUUUUCAUUUUUUUUAUAUUCACAUUUAAAUAUUAUACAUAUUUCAUUUAAUAAAAUUUAAAAUAUUAAUAUGAUUUAAUUUGAUAAUAUCAAAGAUAUAAAAUAAUAUUAUUGAUGUUUAAUUUAUUCAUAUAUAUUUUAAAAUUUUUUAUAAUUAUUUUUAAUUUUAAUAAUAUAUAAAUUAUAUAUUUAUUACGUCACCGGUUCGAUAGCGGUUCGACCGCCGGUCCGACCAGUGAACCGUGAACCGGUAACUUUUCCAGUUCGAUCACCGGUCCGAUUCUGAAAACAUUGGUUAUUUUGCCUGAAACCCAUAUUGUUUGAAAAUAAAAAAUCAAAGUUUUAAAAAAAUACAAUUUUUUUGAAAUGAUGCAUGAUUAUAUCAUUCCCCUAAUAGAUUAUUUAUUCCUUUAAACUUUACUUCAAAUAAAAUAGUUUUAAUUAUUUUCUUUUUGGAAUUAUAUUUAACAUAUUAUUAAAAAUAUAAAAAACAUUUUAAUAAUAUUGUUAAUGAGUUUAUAUAUAUAUAUAUAUAUUGUAAAAUAAUUAAAUUUAAAAAUAUUUAAAUUUAGUUAUGGGCUGCCCAUUUCAAAAUAAUAAGAAUCUCGUAACCUAAUUUUUCCAAAUUCCAGGUAAAUAUGCUAAUCUAAAAAUAAAAAAUAAAAAUUAGGUUUUUAUGCUCUCCAAUCUACCACUUAAGCAUCCGACAUGGCUAAAAUAAAUUACAAAAAAAAAAAAAAAAAAAAAAGGAAAAAAAACAAAAGUGUGUGAUCCUCUUUCUCGAGUCUUCACAUUUUGAGACACUGAAACCAAAUCAAAAUUAAUCCUUCAAAUUAAUUUUCACCUCCAAACAUGGCUAUCCGAAAAACCCUAACGUCUGCCUCCUCUUCCUCUUAUCCCGGAAACCUAAAUUCCGUGACCCUAACCCCUUCUCUUUCCGAAAACCCUCCGGAAUCGGAAGAUUCAUAAUUCUUCAGAAUUAAUUUUCACCUCGAAGCCAAACCCUAACUGCCUCAUCUUCCUCUCAUUCAUAUCCCAAAAGUAGCUUCAACAGUCAGGCCUGUAGCCAUGAAAGCCGUAGUGAUCACUACUUCCGGUGAUCCCCAAGUUCUCCAAGUGCAAGAAGUCGAAAACCCUGAAAUUGGAGAUGAUGAAGUUCUAAGUAGAGUGGACGCCGCUGCCAUUAACCGAACAGAUACGCUCCAGAGGAAGGGCUUGCACCCUUCCUCAAAGGCGGCAGUCCCUACCCGGGUCUCGAAUGUUCUGGAAUCAUCGAAGCUGUUGGAAAAGCCGUCGUUCGAUGGAAGGUUGGCGAUCAGGUAUUUCAAUUGCCUAAUAUUUUGAUUUCGUUUCUGUUCCUCUGUUUUUCUCGGCUAUCAAACACUAGGAACGUGUAAAUAAGGAGGUUAGUUGAUUGCGAAAACGGGAAUUUUUUGUUCGUGUCUGUGUUAAGGAGUCUUUGUUGAGAAUUUUGGGGAAAUUUAUGAUAGGUUAAAUUAUUGAGCUUAUUGGUUUUCAAAUUUAUGGUUGUAAGAAAAUUGGUCAGUGUAAGGUUAUGGGUUCAUUACCAAUUUGCUUAGUGAAAAUUUUUCCACAUAUUGUGGACCGGUUUGGUAGCAGAAAUAAGAACUGUGUUUUGUUUUUCAAAACGGAAAUGGAUGCAGAAAACAUGUUUGGUAGCCUACUUUCAGAACUUGUUUCCGAAAAUAUUUCCUGAAAAUGAAUUAUUUCAGAACUUGUUUUUAAAAAAUUCAAACACUUUAUCAAUUUAAAAGGUUCUGAAAUGGACAUGUUCAUGGUCUUCAUUUUUUAAAAUUAAAGCUUUUAUGAAAAAACCAUUUUCCCUUCUACUAAACAAACAGGCUCUAUAUUGUAACAGAUCGAUUGGCCAUUUCCUUUGUCAUGUUUUGUGAAUCAUGGCAACACUGGAAUCCACUCCAUUACCAUCUGUUAGUGAUUAGAAGACAAAGCACCAAUUUUAAUGAUAUCCUUUAUGUGAUUUUGCUUCCUCCUGAGUACAAGUUCAUAAUAUACAUGGUACAUGGUGAAUCUGUAUGACAGUUCAUGGUAUACAGGUGUGUGCUCUUCUUUCUGGUGGAGGGCAUGCUGAAAAAGUGGCUGUUCCAGCUGGGCAAGUUCUCCCUGUCCUAUCUGGUGUUUCUCUGAAGGAUGCUGCUGAGGUUGCAUGUACUGUUUGGUCAACUGUUUUAAUGAUGAGCCGACUGUCUGCAGGAGAAACAUUCCUGGUGAAUUUUUUGUCUUUUUUAUUUUCUGAUGCCUGAUAUAUUUACCAGCACAAAUUUACCCUGUUGCUGUUUAAUGUGUGUGCAUCAAUAUUGGAUUAGGGAGGUAGAAGAGCCAUGGUUCUAAUUAAAUCAUUACAUCAUCAUAUUCUUAUUUAGAUACAUUGUAUCCCACAAUUUCAUUGCAUCCAAGGCUAUGUUGUUUUUUAUUGCACGGUUUGUCAUGGUAAUUUCUCAACCCUUCUCUGGAAAAUUAUGUUGGAUGGCUGCUAUUAAUUACCCCAAAAGAAGAAAUUUUAUGUUGAAGUAAGAUGAGUAGCACAAAGAGUUACUUGUGGUUGAUCCUAUCAUCAAAUGGGCGAUUGAUGCACAAUCCAAAUGGUAAAUUUUUUUCCCCCUUUAUCCAGAUGGAAUUUUUAUGCAUGGUUGAAUAGUGAAAUGAGAGGACUGAUAAUAUUUCAGGUUCAUGGGGGUUCAAUUGGAAUUGGUACCAUCUAUUCAAAUAGCGAAAUACCGAGGAGCAAGGGUAUUUGUUACAGCAGGUUUGCCAUCACUGUUCUACCUCAUCUCACAGAAUGCUUAUCUCAUGGCACCAAUUCCUUUUCUUCACAUGUUUUCAACCAUUUUUUCCACCCAGGAACGAGGAAAAAUUAGCUAUUUGUAAGGAUCAUUGAGCAGAUGUGUGCAUCAAUUACAAGACUGAAAACUUUGUUGCAUGGGUGAAGGAGGAAACAGGAGGGAAAGGUAUAUUCUAUUGUAUCUUAACGAUAAUUUCAAUUGAAGGUGGAAUUGCUUUUUAUUUUUUAGUGCACCAAAUCCACUAGUCUGGAAUGUUUGAAAAGAUAAAUAGUCAUCUUCCACUUGAUUCCGAUUGUGAAGAUCUAACCCCAAAAAUGUUGAAUGACAGGUGUUGAUGUUAUACUGGAUAAUAUUGGAGGGGCCUACUUUUGGGGAGACAUCAAUGGUUUAAAUGUUGAUGGAAGGCUUUUUAUUAUUGGUUUUCAGGGUGGAACAGUGGUACAAGUAAAUCUUUCAGGUUUACUUGCAAGGCGCCUUACAGUGCAAGGUACUGCUUUCUCUGUAGAAGAUUUUUCUGUAGUUUUGGAGUUGAAUCAAUUUGAUUAAUCUCAUCCAAGUUCAGAACUGAGGUGGAUUCUGGCAAGCCAAGGAAAAACCAAAUUACCAUAAAUUCUUUUUUUUUUUUCUGGAUCGUUUUACUUCUUGGAAAUCCUGUUUCUCGAUCUGUUAAUCACAUGGUUUGUUUUUCUUUAUUGUCCCUCUUUCUUUUCUUGUUGGUACCAAAUCCCUAAGAUGUGGAAGCCAAGUGAGCACUUUCUAUCUUUUCUUGUUUCAAUCUCUCAUCCUCUUGUGCACAUUGAGCAAUAAGCUCAUUCAAAGUCCAUUUUUCCUUUUGUGUGUUGUAACUGAUUUUGAAUGGACUGAAUUGUGUAGGCAGAGAGAUCAAGACCAAGUGCACGAGUAUGUCUUCCGAAAACUCUAACUUUAGUGCCUUUAGUCUAGUCACAAGAUUAGACAUUUCCAUAAUAUACUCCCUUAUAUUCUCUUUCCCUUUAUACCGCAUAGAGACAAGCUUACUAAGAAUAGUGUUUGUCUCAACCUUUUCAUUUGCAGCGAUCAAUUUGCUAUCUGGUCUAAGAAUGCCUUGGCUCGAGUUUUCUCAGGUAUUGCACCCCUUAUAACUUUUGGAAUUGAGUGCUUCGUUAUUAUUAGACUCAUGCGAUUGGAUCGCUCCCAUUUUUCCAUAGUAGACCUUUGCUCAGCAGUGCUGGCACUAGUAAGAUCUGGAGGGCGAUCCUCUCUUAAUGCAUAGUCUAAAUCCAUGCACCCGAGCACAAUUAUAGCGUGUUCCUUCCAUUUCUUGAAGUUUGUGCCAUUAAGGGCAGGAAUGUUAUUGACAUUUGCAGAUAUAGAAUAUGUUGAAUUCAUAAUAAUAAAGCUCACAAUCAGCCACAUAAACAUCAUACAUACAUGAAAAAUAACAUCAUACAAGAUACCUAGUACAAACAUUAAUAUUCUGUCUUUUGACAAUAAAUAUUAACUUGUAAUUGGUAUCCUUAUACAAAAUUAAUUCAUAAAUAUUGACAAUAAAACCAAAAACAAUGUGCCUCUCUUUGGACUAACAUAUUGAAUGCAAGAUAAACUUUAUAUGUCACAUAUUUAUGACUACUUUAUUUAUUAUUAUAUUAAAAUAAUCUUUCUUUGGGUCGCUUAUUUUAAAUAAUAAUAAUAACAUGUUUAGAUAUUAUAAAAUAAAUAAAUUAUAUAAUAUAAGUUACUUUGGCAACUAACAUACAUAAUUCAUUUAUUUUUUGUUGUUUCCUUCCUCUUGGAUCUUUUGUUUGUGUUUUAAAAAAAAAAAUGUUUCAGUGAAAAUGGGAAAUGCAACCAGGCUCUAAUACCAUUUUGUGGGACGUUCAUUCUCCAUUAUCAUCGAACACAUGCAGGAUAUAUUUAUAUAUAUCUAUCAAUUCAUUCAAAAUAUGCCGAUGGGAAGCCAGAGAGAACAAGUUCUAUUUUUAUUUUGAAAACAUUGUUAUCCUUAAAGAACAAACACUAUUAUUUGGAUUUAUACUCUCCUGCCUUAGGGACCAUACCCUUUGGCUAUUAGGCCUCACGAGUCUUAGGCCCAUCAUCUAAGGCUCGUGAUGGCACUGGGCUCUACAUAUAAGGUGGCCCAUACUCUGGAACGAAUAUAAAUCAUAUGUAUAUAUAUGGAUAGCUAAAUCCUGAAUAAUGGUUAAUAUGAUGUCGGUUCACAUUUAUUAUAUCAUAUAGACUUCCCAUCUGAAGAAAAUCGACAACAAGUAGCUUUGCCAUUCUUAGUUCGUAUACAACCAACCUUAGCAAGGGUUGAACCCUUUUAUGCUUAGUUGUGCCAUACAGAUCCUUACCACCGCCUACAACAUGUAAUUGAAAUGAUUCGAUAAUAUCAUCUAGUGAACCAAUACCUCCAAAUGAGAGACCAUUGCCUCAGUAACUAAGACUCACGACUGAGAAUUGCGUGAACCCCUUUGCUUGGGUUGGAGCUUGACUGAUGCACAAAAUAUUCAUAGGCCUCUUCCCAUAACAGGCACCUUGUGUUUGCAACAUAAUUGAACAUGUAUUGAAGUGAGUUUUUUUGCAUCUUUUUGUAAGAAAAUUCUAAACAACAAAGAUUGCUUAGUGUGCCUGACUCCUCAAGGAAUCAAGGUUCAUUCCUGUAGGGCCAGUUUUUUCACAGUCGAACUAGAUAACAUGGAGAGUAUGUUGCAAUGCUUCAACGGGGUAUUUCUUAGGAAAAUCCACCUGAAGCUGGUACAAUUCGUUGGCGUACUGAGUUCCUAAAGCUCUAUUGACUUCAAUCACCCAUCUCUGUAGAUUAUCGGUGACUUUAUGCUCGGAUCCUGUAGGAGGAUUGACUUGACAUUCCACUAGUUUUUUCUGGAAGGCGAUUUUGUUUAACACCUUGUGAGAAGAGGCAGGGGAACUGGUCAUUGUUUCUUCGAGAAGAUCAGUGGCCGAGGAUGGGUUUGGACCAGAAUUGCUAUAUGGGUUUUCUUUGGGUGAACCAAUUAGUGAAAUAGGUGGCUAUAUAGCAACUAAAGGGUGGUCAUACUAACGAGGAGCUAUUAUUUCAUGCAUGUGGAGAGGAAAUGACUAGCUUCUUCAAGGAUAUAUGAUUAUUCAUCUCUAGCUUACGUUGACUAUCUCCUAACAAAUUUCUGCUUUGAAGCUCCCUUAGUUUCACUACAGCUAAUUGGCCAACUUGGUUUCAUCAUGUUUCCUACAACCUCUAAGCAAAGCAUGCCAGAUCACCGAAUCAGGUUCUAUUCGCAUUUUGUCCAUAAACUCCUUUGCCUAUUGACAAUAGACUGCCCCUCAAAAUUUGAUGAGAUAACAUCAACGCUGACAUGUUGGCCAUCCCCAUAAGCAUCUUUAUAGAGAUUGAUUCUAUGUUUAGAUAUUUCUCUCUCCUCAAGUGAGUUCAACUUUUCUGUAGCAUCCUUCUCCUUCUCUACUAAUAGUCUUAGUUGAACAUCCAACCUAUGUUCCCAAAGUGCCAGCAUCUCAUAUCUGAUGACAAGCCAACAACCUUGCCCUUGCUGAGACCCAAAUAAGUAUCCAGAACCAUCAACAUCAACCCUUUCAUAGGCCUUUGUAUUUGAAGGUCGGAUUGGGAUUGCUUUGAAUGCACUGGCACUACAAUACACAAUUGUUUCUUCUCCGAUAAAAACACCACAAAGAGGUGAGGGGACUGGUAUUAGCAAAGAAGUGUUGUUAUCUAUAUUGUUCUAAGCCCGAUUACCCUCAACAAAAUCCUCAUCCUCAUCUGUACUCUUCCAUUACAUCCCUAGGCUUUUCAAUGUGAUCCACAUGGCUUACAGGAAUCCAGAAAUACUGAUCUGUAUAAAAGUUGCUCUUAUGGGGCUCUCCUAGAAAACAUCCCAAUCAAGAUGAUCAACCUAGCUUAGAUGCUCAGCACCCCAAACUUACCAGAAAUAGAGGAAUAAAAAGCAAGGAUAGGAGCCAAAGUAAAAACUAAGGGAAGAGCAAAUAGGAAAUCAAGCAAAACAUGAAUGUACAGAGCCUCAUUUCAGGUGACAUCUUUGGGCUAAUAAUAGGUGGAAUUAACAAAGUAGAUAAGCAUGAUUGUUAUAAAUAUCAAGUUCAAGGAUGAAGUCGUGCAUCAGCUACUUAUAGGGGGAGUCAAGGAAACCAAGAUAAGAUCAAAGAGAGCAUGUAUGCAAAUAAACAGAUACGACAAAAUAGACCAAACAACUCGUGAAUAUCCUCCUACAAAAAACUACUACACGUGGCAAAAAGUGAUGAAACAAAAAGAGUUGGGUCCGCAUAUACAUAUCCUAUUCUAUCCUAUUCCUUCAAAUCCAAAGCAACCUGUAUUUUCAAUGGGAUUUGUUGUGAUGAAUUUUACUGGAUUGUAACAUGUAAAUAUGUUAAAAGAGGCUUGGGACAUUCCUAUAUAGUAACGCAUAAAGGUACUUCCAUUGUGAAGUUGUCAAAAUUGCAAAUUUAAAUUACAAAAUUUGAAAACAUAGAGAUGAAAGAUGAUGAAACCUUCUUUGAAAUUUUAUAUUGAACUCAUUAAUAUUAUUAAUUUUCAUUUCAGUCUAGGGGAAAGAAUUCUUUACUCUAAAGUGGUCACAAAAAUAUUAAAAUUCCUUGUCGAGAGAUUUAGACCUAAAGUGAUCAAUAUAGAAGAAAGUAAAAAUAUUCUAAGUGUAGGUAAACUUGUAGACUCAAAUGACUCUACCUUCUCAUAAAAAAUCCUCAAUUUUAUAAAUUAUAUUGAUUUCUUCAUUUGAUACAAAAUUUGAAUAAAGAUUUUUCAAAUGACAACACAAGGAAAGGGAAAAAAAAAUUCUCUCCAAAUCAUAUUAUUUAAUCACUUAAAUUAUUUAAAAAUAAAAAUGUUUACUGCUAACAUUAUUUAGGUUCAUCUUUCUUUUGAUGGAGGUUAAAAUUCAUAAUUUUGAGGAAAAAGAUGAGGAUUCUCAUUUUUUUUCCAUAUAUGAAUGGGAUUCUCAUUGUGUAUAUGUGGGUUACUAAAUGGCAAAUUUGGGGGCCACCAGAGUCUGCAAUAUGAGGGAAAAAUGAAGUUGAGUUUGUCACCAAGAAUAGACAUGGUUCCUACAAAGGUGGCAUCUUUAAUUUCAUGUUUGGAUUGGACUUGUCAUGUAACAACUUAACAAGUGAAAUCCCUCAUGAACUUGGAAUGUUAAGUUUGAUUCAUGCAUUGAACUUGUCUCGUAAUCAACUAAAAGGCUCCAUUUCAAAGAGUUUUUGCAAUCUUUCUCAAAUAGAGAGCUUAGACCUUUUUAAUAAUAAACUAAGUGGAGAAAUUCCUCCAAAAUUGGUUAGACUAAACUUUUUAGCAGUGUUCAAUGUGACUCACAAUAGCAUCUUCGGAAGAGUUUUAGAUAUGAAUACAUAAUUUGCAAAAUUUGAUGAAAGUAACUAUGAAGCUAAUCCUUUCCUUUGUGGACCACCAUUAAAGAGAAAAUGUAGCAUAAAUGUUGUUGAACCACCUUACCAACCAUUAGAGUCUUCGGAAGAAAGUGAUGCAAAAUGGUAUAAUAUCAAUCUUGUUAUUUUCUUUGCAAAUUUUACUACAUCAUAUAUCAUGAUAUUAUUAGGAAUUUCAACCAUUCUUUACAUUAACCCUUAUUGGUGUCAAAGAUGGUUCAAUUUUAUCGAGAAAUAUAUAUACUUUUGCUAUUAUUUUGUUUCCUAUACUCUUUCCAAGUUAUUAACAUAUUUUGAAUAAUUAGAGAUUUUUGUUUUCAAUAAUAUUUACAUAAUUAACUACUAUUGGCUUCCAUGACAUGGAAAGAAAUGCGAUGAAGGCAACAACCACUUUUUUUUCUCCUCUACUAGUGCAUGAUUGAUAUGAGUUAAAACUUGCACCCUUAUCUUUGCUUAAAUUUUCUCAGCUUUUGUUUCAAUUCUUAAUUAUCAUUUCUUUUAUGUAUUGUUUAAUACAAUAUCCUAAACACAUUGCUUUGAAGGUUACUUAUUUAUUAAGCAUGAUAUUGAUUUUCAUAAAAACAAAUUCAAGUUUUUUAGGAAUUUUUAGAAUUAUUAUAAUUUGGAGUUCACAUUAGAGGAAAAAAGGAAAGAAAAGAAUAGAUGAUUAAAAAAACAAUUUUAGUAAGUAUAAUUUGUCAUCUUCGGUAUAACAAAUGGGAAUUCCAAAAUAAUAUUUCAAUUUGUUAGUCUAUUCCUUAUAGUAUUAAUUGAUAUAUCAAAUAGGAAGUCACGUUUUGAUUUUUUAUUAGCUUGAAUUGCAUGUCACAUAUAUUUUAAAAUCAAGCAUACAUCAGCCGGGAAGUUCUUGUAACAUGCAUGAACAUGAUAUGAUGAAUUGAAUAAUUUUCUUAAUAUAUGUGUAUAUACUACACAUUAUUAAAUCAUAUAUGUAUAUUUAUAGUCGUAUAAUAUAUUUAUAUAAGUAACAAUAAAUUAUAUUGUAUAAGGUAUCGGUAGGAGUUUUCAAUUCCCUCAUACAAUAAUAUCUAUCAAUAAUUGGAUUGGACACCUUGCUGGCCAUGAGAAUGGACUUGACAUUAACACAUAGCCUUGAGUGGUGUUGAUAUUAUUACUUUGAACCAGAACUGCAGUCAUCUCAAAAACUAUAUUAUAUAGAAAAGCAAAAUAAAAACAUUAGUUAAAACAAAUGUCAAGAUCCUUGAAAUCACGUUUCAAUAUGUUAAAUUACCAUUUUUUUAAAUAAAUAUUUUAUAGGUUGUGUGAAUAAAUAUAAUUGCUAUGAAGGUUUCAAUUUAAUUUUACUAGCAAAUCCAUAAUAGGUGAAAAGACAAAACUACCAUUUUUGUUUUUUUUUCUUUAUUUACCUUUUUUCUCUCGUAACCUUACUCCUUUCACCUUUUUGUUUUUUCCUUUUUCUCAACUAACUAUUUUUUUCUUGUAAUUGUUAUUAUCAUUUUUUAUUAUAAAUAUUAUAACCUUAUAUUAUAAAUUUUUAAUUAUAUUUAAACUAACUAAUGUUGUGGUUUUAAUUGACAUGGAAAAGAAUGUGGUUAUACAUGUGAUUGUCGCCUUUUUUUUUUUCCAAUUAGUUAACUAUUGAUACAAGUUAAAAGUAAAAAUUGCAAUAUUAUCUUUAUGUCAAUUUCACCGAUCUUUUGUUUUUAUUUUCAUGUAUCAUUCCUUUUUUGGUUAUUUAAUUAAAAGGAUUAAAAAAAAAAAAUCACAUAUUCACAAGAAUAACCUUCAUAUUUUAAAAACAUAAAUUUUUAUAAAAAUACCCUCCAACUAUAAUUUUUAUAUGUCCCUAUUUCAAAUUCAAACACUUCUUUUAAUAAUAAUAAUAAUAAAAAAGGGCAAAAAUGUCAAACUGGGAUUAUAUUUAUAAUUUUCAAUAAUUAGAGGUUGUUUUUCCAAAGUAAAAAUUAUUUUGUUCCUUUGGCACAAAUAUUUCUUUCUUUUUUGUAUUUUUUUAUUCAAAAUAUUAAACACAUUACCCUCAAGGUUACUAUUUAUUAUGAAUGGUGUUUACUUUACAUUACGACAAAUUCAAAUUUUUUAGAAUUUUUUAAUGUUAAAAUAAUUUGGAGCUUAAUAGGGAAAAAAAGAAUAAAUAAUUAGAAAAGCAAUUCAAAAAAAUAAAAUUUAUCCUCUUAAAUUGGUUUUGUGUAAUACUAUAGAAGCCAUUUCUUGAGUUUGAUAUGGUAGAAUUUGGAUUCAUAUUUAUUUUAAAAUCAAGAAAUUCAAGUGUUGGUAGCAUCAAUAGAAUCUUAAAAAAUUUGCAAAAAAAUAUUUAGGUAGAUCACAUUUAAAUAUAACUAAUAGAAUAAAAAAUUAGUAUUAUUAGGAAGACAUGAUCAAUUAAAUCUUUUUUCUUAUCUAUGACACCGACUUUAUUUUUUUACAUAGUCAAUAUAAUUUAUUACAACUUAUAUGUCAUUAAAUUAUACAUGUUUAUAUUAAAUAUAAUAUAAGAUCAUUAAUGGAAUAAUUAUGCAAGUAAUAUAAAUUGUAUAUAAUAUAAAAAAUUUAAAGUCCAUCAAACUAAUGGAAUCUAUUAUAAUAAGUAGACUAGACACCAUGUUGGCCCGAGUUGGAGGCCUAGGCCAGAUUUUAAAGGCUGGGCUUUGAGUUGCCCGUGGGCCUGAGCCAAGGCCUUCUCUUGGUAUCAUCAUUUUGAAGAAAUAAAUUGCUGAUACAGAGAAAAAAACUAUACUAAAUAGAAAAAUAAAUAAAAGCAUUGACUAAAAUGAAGGCCAAGGUCCUUGAAAAAUAAUCUUAAAAUUGUUGCAUAUAUAAUUUCAAUAAUGCAUAAAUAAUUGCAAUAUAUAUGAUGUGAUAAAGAAUUUGGAAUUAAAAGAAGAUUGAUCUAUUUUAAAUGUGGUUGGAAUAUUUCUAAAUUUGUGAUGGGAAGUUAGACAGCCAAUUAGGGAUCCAUAUUAUUUAUUUUCAAUGAUAUGAAUUUAUUUACUUUUAUUAAUAUUCUUAAUGCAACAAUAUAAAAUAUGUCAAUUUUCUAAAAUUAAAAAAGUAAUUGUAAAAGAAAAUUUUUAAUUAUUUUUAUGAAAUUGAGUUUAUUAUAGCAUUUUUCUUUACAUAAAUUUCUUUUUUAUUUUUAUUUUUUUAAAAAUGAGAUAUGAAAAAAAAAGAUCAAUAUUAGUAAAAGUAAAACCCAAUAUAUAAAAAAUAUGAAUAAAUGUUUAUGAAAUAAGAUUUAAAAGUGAGAAGGUAAUAAUUUUUUUCUCUUUUAAUUCCUAUUCAAUUCAUUACAAAAAAUAUUUUUGGUUUUUAUGCUAAAAUUUAUUGUUUAUUAAAAAAUUCUAGUAUAUCUAGCUAUCAUAGAAGAGCUCCAAAAUUUUAUUGUUUAAGAGAAUAUGUGUUGCCACUUUAAAAGAUUUAUAUGCAAAAGGGAUUGAUAUUUUUUUCCUUUGGAUAUGUUUAGUUCCCGGAAAAUUUGAGGGAAAAUGUGAGGGAAGAAAAAUAGAGAAGAAAAGUAUAACGAAAUAAAAAGUGAAGGAAAAUGAAAAAUAGAUUUAAAGUUAACAAAUUAUUUUCAUUGGUUUUUUCAAACUUAUUUUACUUAUUUUAUUCUAUUAAAUAAAGAUUAACUAAUUUUAAUUAUAUUUGGUUUGAUUUUUAUUAUUUUUCAAAGCAAAACCAAAUAUGAAAAAAAAAACAUUUUUUUUUUUUGUUAUUUUUUUCUUUCCUUAUUACUUUUUAGGACUCAAACAUAGCUUUUAGAUUUGGAGCAUGGAAAGAUAAGAGUAUUGAAUAAUGGUUCUAUAUAUGCCCAUGCCCAUGCCCAUGAUACCAUUGAAAAAAAUGGAGAGAGGGUGAAACCUUUACUAGAUGAUAAAUUAUUCUCUUCAAUGGAAAUCAAAUAUAAUUAUUUUUAUCUUGUAUUAAUUGAAUGUUAUACUCCAUAAACUCAAAAUUAAAAUAAAUAAAAAAUUUAAAAACUAGGACAAUCCCAUUUUUUUUCAAUUUCUUAAAAAGAAAUUAAAUUAUAUUUAUUUAUAUCUAUUUUCAUCCCUACCCAACAAAAUAAAAAAAAAUUAACAAGGUGGGACAUGUAUGAGAAAUUCUCACACUAACUCUCACUAGUUUAUUUUUUUUUAAAAAAAAAAAUAAAAUCAAUUUCUUUUAAAAAAAUUAAACUACAUAAAAAAUAAACAAAUUUUACAAUUUUUUUUAAGAAAAGUAAAUUUCUUAUUUUAUAUAUGUUAAAAAUAAAUAUAAUCUUUUAUUUUUUAUAUAUAUAAUCGGGUAAGGUAGAGUGGGACAAAGAAAUAAUCCCCUUCGAUUCCAAUCCGAAUUUUUAAAAUAUAAAAUAAAAAUCUUAAACUCAUCCCUAAUCCAUUUAUUUUUAAUCCUAAACUUGUCUUAUUAAGAAUAAGGCAAAGUGAGUACAUGAAAACACUUCUUUUAUCAUCAUCUCUACAAGUUCUAAUGUUUAGAUUGCAAUCCAUAUCAAAGAUUUAUAAAGAAAGAACAACAAUGAAUUUCAUAAACAUUUGAAAGCAUAAACAAAGUUUUAAAUAAUAUUGCUUGAGGUGCAAAUAUUAUUUGGCGCACAUGUUGAGGGACUUCAACUGGUGUAGUCUAGGUUUUUUACACUAGUAAGUAAUCUUGAAUAUCUAGAGUAACUUGAUCAAAAUCUCUUUAAUUUUAUUUUCUUUGAUGGUUGUAUGAUGAAUUAGAAUGCUUAUAUAACAUGAUUAAAAAUUUUAAGAAAAAAAAACUAAGAAGAAAGAAAGAAGCAUCGAUCUUCCAAAUAUUGCUUCCACUUUAAUAUCUAGUAGGCUCUAAGAAAAGAACUUUAUUCAUGAAUCAUAACCCAAGUCGAAAAUAAAUUGAACCCAUUUUCUAAGUUAAAUUUUGAAUUUUUUACUAGUGAAUGCAAAUUGGGAAAAUGUAUAUAAAUAUAAUCAAACUAGAAUAGUAGAUUAGGUUUGUAGGUGGAGUUUGUUUGAAUUGUUGGAACUUCCAAGUCGUUGUGGGUCUAGUGGUCCCAUAGCUCUCUAUUAAUUUCCACCAUCAAUUUUUUGCAAUAAAGUCAAGUCAUUCCUAACCCUUAUAUUAAGUUGGCCUUAAAAGUCAAGUCAUUGAUCAUAGUUACAUUCAUGAAUCACAACCCAAGUCGAAAAUAAAUUAAACCCAUUUUUCAAGUUCAACUUUGAAUUUUUUAGUAGUAAAUGCAAAUUGGGAAAACAUAUAUAAAUAUAAUUAAACUAAAAUAGUAGAUUAGGUUUGUAGGUGGAGUCUGCUUGAAUUAUUGAAACUUCCAAGUCAUCGUGGGCCCAAUGGUCCCAUAGCUCUCUAUUAAUUUCCACCAUCAAUUUUUUGCAAUAAAGUCAAGUCAUUCUAACCCCUAUAUUAACUUGGCCUUAAAAGUCCAAUCAUUGAUAGCUAAAUCCCAACCCAAGUCAAAAAUAAAUUGAACCCAUUUUCUAAGUUCAACUUUGAAUUUUUUUUAAUUGGAAAAAUGUAUAUAAAUAGAAUUAAACUAGAAUAGUAGAUUAGGUUUGUAGGUGGAGUUUGCUUGAAUUUGUGAAACUUCCAAGUCGUCGUGGGUCUAGUGGUCCCAUAGCUCUCUAUUAAUUUCCACCAUCAAUUUUCUGCAAUAAAGUCAAGUCAUUCCUAACCCCUAUAUUAAGUUGGCCUUAAAAGUCAAGUCAUUGAUCAUAGUUACAUUCAUGAAUCACAACCCAAGUCGAAAAUAAAUUAAACCCAUUUUUCAAGUUCAACUUUGAAUUUUUUACUAGUGAAUGCAAAUUGGGAAAACAUAUAUAAAUAUAAUUAAACUAAAAUAUUAGAUUAGGUUUGUAGGUGGAGUCUACUUGAAUUAUUGAAACUUCCAAGUCAUCGUGGGCCCGGUGGUCCCAUAGCUCUUUAUUAAUUUCCACCAUCAAUUUUUUUGCAAUAAAGUCAAGUCAUUCUAACCCUUAUAUUAAUUUGGCCUUAAAAGUCCAAUCAUUGAUAGCUAAAUCCCAACCCAAGUCAAAAAUAAAUUGAACCCAUUUUCUAAGUUCGACUUUGAAUUUUUUUUAAUUGGAAAAAUGUAUAUAAAUAGAAUUAAACUAGAAUAUUAGAUUAGGUUUGUAGGUGGAGUCUACUUGAAUUUGUGAAACUUCCAAGUCGUUGUGGGUCUAGUGGUCCCAUAGUUCUCUAUUAAUUUCCACCAUCAAUUUUCUGCAAUAAAGUCAAGUCAUUCCUAACCCAUAUAUUAAUUUGGCCUUAAAAGUCCAGUCAUUGAUAGCUACGUUCAUGAAUCCCAACUCAAGUCAAAAAUAAAUUGAACCCAUUUUCUAAGUUCAACUUUGAAUUCUUUUAAUUGGGAAAAUGUAUAUAAAUACAAUUAAACUAGAAUAGUAGAUUAGGUUUGUAGGUGGAGUCUGCUUGAAUUUGUGAAACUUCCAAGUCGUCAUGGGUCUAGUGGUCCCAUAGCUCUUUAUUAAUUUUCACCAUCAAUUUUCUGCAAUAAAGUCAAGUCAUUCCUAAACCAUAUAUUAAUUUGGCCUUAAAAGUCAAGUCAUUGAUAGUUACGUUCAUGAAUCACAACCCAAGUCUAAAAUAAAUUGAACCCAUUUUCCAAGUUCAACUUUGAUUUUUUUACUAGUGAAUGCAAAUUGGGAAAACAUAUAUAAAUAUAAUUAAACUAGUAUAGUAUAUUAGGUUUGUAGGUGGAGUAAGCUUGAAUUGUUGAAACUUUCAAGUCGUCGUGGGUCUAAGGGUCUUAUAGCUCUCUAUUAAUUUCCAUCGUCAAUUUUUAUGAAUUAAGAUUUAAAAGUGAGAAGGGAAUAAAUUUUUUCUUUUUCAAUUCAUUACAAAAAAUAUUUUUGGUUUUUAUGCUAAAAUUUAUUGUUUAUUCAAAAAAUUAAAGUAUAAAAAUAUAAAAAAAAAUAUAUAUCUUGAUAUUAUAGAAGAGCUCCAAAAUUUUUGUGUUUAAGAGAAUAUGUGUUGCCACUUUAGAAGAUUUAUAUACAAAAAGGAUUGAUGUUUCUCCUUUGACUAUGUUUGGUUGCCAAAAAUUUGAGGGAAAGAAAAUAAAAAAAAAUAGUAAAAAAGAAAAAAUGAAGGAAAAUAAAAAAUAGUUUUCAAGUUAAUAAAUUAUUUUUAUAUGUUUUUUCAAACUUAUUUUACUUAUUUUCUUUCAUUAUAUAAAGAUUAAAUAAUUUUAAAAUGCAUAAUUUCUAACUAAUUUUAAUUAUAUUUAAUUUUUCUUUUAUAUUUUUUAGACGGGAUCCGACACAUGAAAAAAUCCUUUUUUUUAGCAUCUUUUUUUCUUUUCUUAUUACUUUCCAAUAACCAAAUAUAACCUUUAGAUUUAGCCUUUAGACUUGGAGUAUGGAAGGAUACUGAGUAUUGAAAGAAGGUUUUGUAUAUGGCCAUGAUACCAUAGAAAAAAUGGGCGAGAGAGAAAAAACCUUUAUUAAAUGAUAAAUUAUUUUACUACUUACUACAUAAAUAGAUAUUCAUGGAGUGCAUUCUCUAAAAAGCUCCAGUCUCAUGAAAAUGGAAAGAUGGACCGGCCAGUGGACCGGUUCGAGUUUGGAUUUAUGGGCUGCCUCAGCCUAACACGCAUGAUAGGCUGUUGCAGGUGAAGAACUAAUUAAUUUAAAGCCUUCUUCUAUCCUCUCCUAUUCCUCUUUCACUCCAAAUUUUCCACAUGAUAAUGACAAUUCUUUUGUUAAAUGGUAAAAAAAAAAAUUUAACAAUUAAUUUAAAAUCAUUUAUAAAAUCAUGAACUUUGGCAUCCUAAUUAAUGCAAUUUAAACUUUUUUUGUUUACAAAUGAAAUAAGAGGCAACAUAUAAACCCAAAAGUUAAUUUUCCUACCAUCUCUAUGCACCAUUUUAGCUUUACUCCAAUAUAUUUUCUAUGAUUAAUUAUUUUCAUUCAAACAAUAAUAUCAAAAUAUUUUAAAAUUAGACAUAUCAUAAUCAAAUAUCAUUAUAUUAUUAUUGAAUAAUAUUUAAUGUAAUUUAAUAAUCAACGUAUACUUAUAGAAUUUAUAUUUUUUAUUAAUGCAUAUAAUAUUAUUAUCAAAUAUGAUAAAUUAUAUAUAUAUAUUUCUUUAACAAAACAACUUUAAAAUAUCUAUUAUACUUUUAAUUUCAUCUCUAAGAGGUUUUUUUUUUUUUCUUUUUUUUUUUUACAUUUUUAUAAGUUUUGAUCAAUUGUAGGCUAACCAAUAUUUUUUUAUCAAAAUAUCCACCAAUAUAUCUCCGAUAUAUUAGAUAUAUCCGUAACAUCGAAAUACCAAUAUAUCCGCGAUUAUCGAUAUUUUUAUCCUUGAGGGAUAACAACUAAUAUAGUUUUUGCACUUAAUGAUAUUCCUCAACAUUUAGAUUGAUUUGACCAAAAUCUUUUUAAUUUUAUUUUCUUUGAUGGUUAUAUGAUGAAUUAGAAUAGUCAUAUAACAUUAACAGAUUUAAGAAAAAAAGGAUAAAAAAGCUCGUAUUUUUCAAAUAUUGGUUUCAACUUUGAAUAUUUUUAUUGGUAAAUGAAAAUUGUGAAAAACCUACUAAUGCUAAUACUUUUCACCACAUAAUUAAAUAUAAUAAACUAGAAUAGUGAUUCAUUGAUGUCUUAUAAAGACACAUGCCUUCUUUGACUUGUUAGUUGAUUUUUGUAGGUGGAGUCCAUUUCCAUUUGAAUUGUUGAAACUUCCAAGUCCUUGUGGGUCUAGUGGUCUCUCUAAUAAUUCCCACCAUUAAUUUUUUGUGAUGAAGUGCAGUCAUUGAUAGCUACUAUAUCAAUUUGCUAUUAAAAGUCAAGUCAUUGAUAACUAAUAUUCAAUCUUUUUCAAUAUGGAAAUUGGAAUCUCUAGCACUACUCUUCUCAUUGUUCAUUUUUAGGUAAUGUGAGAAUGUGUGAACAUAAAUGUCUUCUAAUCAACCAAUUUUUUUGAAAAAAACAUGUACAAAAUUGCAAAACUUGCAAAAUCAAACUUUCUUGUUGAAUAACCAUAGCUUGAUGGUUUUGAAGAAUCAAAGGAUGAAUCAUAAAAGGGUAUUUGAUAAAAAAUAAAAAUUUAAAAAGUUAAAAGACAACUACUCCCUUAAGUGUAAUAAGUGUAUUUGGUAGCACAAAUUUCCUACCACUUAUUAUUUUUUCCUUUCUUAAAAAAUUAUUUACUCUAUUAAAUAAACUAACCUUGGCUUAGCACUUAUAGCAAAAUAGGUUAAGUAGUUUUUAAAAUUUUAUAAUAUUAGAUUUACAUUUUUAUCCUUCAAAAUUUCAUUAAUGCUAGAUUCUUCUAUAUGCUUAACUAAUAAAUAAUUUUUAGCAUUUUUCUUUUCUUAUAAACAUAAAAAAAUAAAAAUAUUAUUAACUUAUUGGUAUAUUUUAAAAUUUUAAUUAGAUUUAAGCUUUUAUUUGUUUGGAUUACCAAUUAUACAUAUAAAUCCUUUGUUAUUAUUGUUAUUAUUGAAAGAAAGGGGUUGAAUAGGUAGUCCCUCAAUCCCCAAAUUAAAUUCUUUAUUGCCUACUUUUGGUUUAUUCCUUUACAUGAAUUCCUUGGUGAGAGUAAACAUUUCAUUAAUAGAUAAAUAAAAUUGAUUCCAUAUCAUAGGGUAUAAUGUGGAAAAAUCACCAGUCUCAUGUGUUCCUUAGUGGAUCCUUUGGAGCCCUAUCAAAGUUUCAUGAUGAAACCAUUGACUUUUGUUUAACCCAAAUGUGCUUUCAAGACAAAUCUUGAAAGAUUUGAGAGAUGGAGGUUCAAGUCUUUUAUGAACGACCAUGUUCUCUUAGGGUUCAUGAAAUUCACACCUUUUGAUAAAUAAAACUUAUCUAUUUAUACGUCUAAAACCCAGUAUUUAUUUAUUUAAUUAUAGAAAGUUUCUUAGUUUUAAAAACAUUUCAAAAAUCAUUUUUAGAAUCAAAUAAGAAUUUUAGAGAUAAACACAAUAUUAAAAUUUAACAAAAACAAAUUUUCGAAUUAAAAACACAAUAUAAACUAAAUUACAAAAUAUAAAGUAAUUUUUACCCUAAUUUCUUGUUGCAAAACCAAAUGGAACACCUAGAAGGGGAGUGAAUGGGUGAUUUUAAAUUUUUUCAAUAAUUAUUUAUAAGUUAUACCCAAUUCUUUUACCCUGCAAGUUGUUAGGGACUAUCAAUUCUUUCAUUUUGGCAAUUCAAACAAUAUAUCAAAUAAUAAAAAGAUAUAAAUAAUGAGACAUAAAUAUUUUUACGUGGAAAACCCCCCACACUAACCAUGGAGAUAAAAAGCCAUGGAGUCUAAGACCUAUUAAUCUAAAUUCACGGUACGAAAUCAAGUUACACAAAUUUAUUUGACAACUUUACCUUAAAGACUUACUCUACAGUACUGACAACUUGAUUCACAUCCACGACGUAGCAACCCUCGAUUACUCCAAUGGAUCACUUCAAGCUUACUAAAAGGAUGAAGGCCUUCAAACCAAGAUUCAAAAAUCAAUUCCUUGAAUGAGAGAUCAGGAAUGGUGUGCCACUUUAGGCUUUCUCUCUAAGAACUCUAAAAUGAUCUCCUCAAUGAAAACCUUUUAAACAAAAUGAGAUAUUUCUCCACAAUCUCUAACCCUCAAGGGGUUAUAAUGAGAUAUUUAUAAGCAACUAAGUUGAAGAGUUUCGGUUUUGGAAGGUUUCUCAAUUGAAUUUGUGUGAAAAACUCGACAGAAUCAACAUGACCGCUCGAGGCAGCACACUUCCCACUUGAGCGUUUCGGGCACUUGAGCGGUAAGGCUUGCUUGAGUUGUCCUAAGCGCUUGAGCAUUCCAGGCUACUUGAGCAAUCUUGCUCUAUUUCAAAAGUUAAUUUUAAACCAUUUUAAGUUCAAAACAAAAUUGAUUCCCUUUAUACCUCAAAGGAGCCUAACUUGCCACAAACCAAACUUUUUUAGAUAUACUUGUGACUUCCUGGUUGGACGAACAACAACUCUUAAUCUUCAAUGGAGAGCAAGUCACUAUCUAAAAAGAUUUAUAUGGUCAAACAUAAAAAAACAAAAAAAUUGCCAACAUAACAACAAGACUCAAUGUCCAUGCAUGGUCACCUGAAAGGUGACUCCGACCACAAUAUAAUGCAUGUUCUCAUAGAACAUGUGAACAAGAUGGGGAUAGGAAGUCCCCUAGAGAGAAAACAGAGUCUCCUAACCCUACUCUUGAAUGAUGAUAGGGAAGACAGUGUCCUGAAAAGCUUAAAGGUUAAUGGCAUGCUCAGGCUCGACACACCGAUAUGUGAAAGAAGCGUAAUAAUGGUCCCGUGCCACCUGGUAGUGAAAGCGCUCAACCGGAAGUGCAUCUAGGUUAAAAAGACCCUAGAGUGGGAUGCCCUAGACGGUUUCAGUGACCUAGGAAAGGUCACCUCCCUUUGACAUCUAUGACUAGCCAUAUCUAAGGUAUAUAAUAUGAAAAAACAAAAGCUAAAGAAAAUCCAGAGAAAAGCUAAACCACUAAAAAUGUUAAACUCAAUGCGUCGAACAAUACUAUACAAAUGGAAAUGAAAAAUAUGAAGCGAACUGACCUCAGAAGACAAAAGGACAGUAACCCAGAGGGCUCGAAGAGGAAUAGGAAAGAUUGAAAUGAAUAUGGCGUGAUGGAUGACCUUUAUAUAGCUUAUAAGAGUGCUUGAUGCAGAUUAGCACUUGAGCGUCAUGACUAACUUAAAUCAAAUUAUUUAUUAAUAUGGAAAUAUUUUAAAAGUUUCAAAGGAAGUAUUCAAUUUAGAACCUUUUUAGAAUUUUUUUGAAAGAAACAAAAAUAAAGCGUGAAAUAUUAUGUGUUAAAGGUGUUAGAAGACAAUAUUGUCUAAUCCAAAGCCUUACACAUUCCUAAAAAAAAAAAAAAAAAAAAAGGAAAAAGAGAGAUAUUAUAUAAGAUUUUGAUCACAUCUAAUAGAAACUAAUAUUUAGCAACAUAUCACCAAGCACUAUCUUAUCAGAAAGCUCUAACAUGUUGGAAAUUUAUGUAAGGUUCCAUAACAGCUAAAAACUUUUUCUGACGACUCGGUAAUGGACCAUUUGCACUUUAACUACAUUAUUGAAUUUAAAUCAUAUUAGAAUUGUAAUUGACUUCUCUUUUGUGAGACUACAUAUCUUGUAGGAUGGGAUAGGUGAUUCAUUUCAUAUAUGAAAUUUACUUAAUUUAGUAAUGCUUCCAAGUUCAUUAUGAAUCUAAUGGUAUCACAACUCCUUUAAUAUUUGUAAUUUUGUAAUCUUUGUUUCAACUUCUCAAGUCUAGUCAUUUUAUUGGCAUAACUAGUUUGCUUCAAUUAUCUCUCAACUUUAUUAUAAAACUAAGGGAAAGGAUUAUCACGCAUUUUAUAUUAACUUAACCAAACAUCUUUAUAUAUCUUACAUAUAUAUAUUUUUUGUAAAUUUAGGAAAAUUUCAUCCAUUAGCCAUAGUAAGUAAGAAUCAAAUAAGGGAUAUGUAAGCCAAUGGUGAUAUUGAUGGCGUCAAAUCAAUGACAUAGUAGAAAAGUGGAUUGUCUAUUUUCAAACCUUUAUAUUUUCAUCCAAUAGUAAAAAGGUUUAGGCAUCACUUGAAAAGUAGUUCGUUUUUUACCUUGGACUAUGAUUUAUGAAUAAAGUUCUUCUGUUGUAUACCUUUUGUGAUGCCCCAAACCUAAUUUAGGGGUAAAAAAAUAAUUUAGAAAAAAAUAAAUAAAAAGUUAAAUAAAUUUAAUUAAGGUAAAAAUGUAUUUUUGUAUUUAAAAUUCCUAGGUAUCAAUUAUAUAUUUCUUGUCUUCUCUAUUCAAAAAACCCUAUUACACAAAAAUCAAAUAUCAGAGAACAUAGGACAACGCAGGGUUGAAGAUUUGGAGGUUUAGGGUUGAAGAUUAGUUUUCCAGGUAAGAUUCUAACCCUUAAAUUAGUAUUUUAGAUUCGUUAAUUAGUUUGAACACUUUAGAUAUUCUUUGAAAAAUCUGAAUCUACGUUAGGGUUUGUUAAUUUAAUUUUUAAAUAAAAAAGAUUCAAAAUUUAUGAACAUAAGUAGAGUUAUUAUUAAAGAUUGAAAUUUUUUGAAUAUUUGAAUUAAAAAUCUAGAAAAAAAAAGAAGAAAAUAAAUUAUAGCUUUGGAUGUGGAAAAAAGUUAAUAUUAAUAAAUAAAUAAAACUUAUGAGUACGGAGGUAGAAAAAUAUGAGAGUUGAAAGCAAAGAAAAAAAAAAGAGAAUAAGGUUUUGUGGUUGUACGUGUCUCCUUAGUGGAAAAAAGAAAUACAAGGUUGUUUGCAAUAGGAUAUGACAAAGAGAGAGAGAUAAAUGCUUAGAUGUUGAUUUUUGUGGGGAAAAAAAGAUUGGGUAAUGUAGGAGAGAAAUAGGUAGCACUUGUAGAGUUGGUGGGGUUGUUGUAAAAGCUCGUAGGGUAAUUGUUAGGUAGUAGUAGGGUAUGAGAUUAAUUGUUAGGAAACAUUAGGACUUGAAAUAAUAAUAAUUGCUUCUAGUAAAAGUUUUAACUUAGUUUAAGUAUAUAAAAGAAAUAGAUGAUUAGAAUAAGAUUUGGAAGGAAUAUGAAUUCAUAAAAAUUUCGAAAUUUACUAAUUUAGAUUAUUAUUUUUUUGGAAGUUGAAUAUAAUAUAGGUGGUAAUAUUAUUAAUAUAGGAAAUGAUUAAGAUUCUCAAACCUACAAUUUUAGAUAAAUAGUUAAUAGUAAUAGUUGAUUUUUUAUUUUUUUUAUUUUUUAUUUUUUAUGUUAUGUUAAGUGAAUAAUGGAUUCUUUGAUUAAUUCUCUAAGGUUUCUAAGUGCUUCUUUAAGAUAAGGGAUAUUAAUACUGAUUUUGUAAAUGAAAAUAUUUCUUUUUAUAAGUUAUUUUAAAUUAUGAAAAAUUUUAUUUUUAUUUAUGCAUGGAUCAAAUAUAUAUUUUUUCAUGAGAAACAUGUUUGGGCAAUUUCUUUGUUUAUAAAUAAAUAAAUAAAAAAUGAGAACUUUGGAAAUAUAAUGUUUUGUUUUGCAAGUUUAAAAUAAUGAAAUAAAGUUUUUGACUCUGGUUUAUAUGACCUUAGUUAAUGGGUUAUAAUUGUUGACAUUUUCAGCUCUCCAAUCAAUGAUUAUAAUUGUUGAGAUUUUCAACCCUAGCCAACGGGUUAUAAUAGUUGACCUUAUAGCCCUAGUCAACAGAUAUAAUUGUUAACCUUUCGUUUUUCCCAUCUUAAAAAGAACAAAUUUAAGGCUAACCAUUUAUUUGUAAAGUCCCACCUAACUAAGUACCAUUUGUUAUUUAAUAACCAGAGUAAAGAUAUUUUGAAUGUAUUUGAUAUGAAAUUAUUUUGAUAUAAAUAUGAAAAUGUUUGGUUGAAAAGUUCAAAUGUUUAAUGCAUGUUGAAUUCAAAAGUUUUUAUGAAAAUGAUUAUAUGUUAUAUCUCCUAUUUGUAAGUUUGAUCCAUAAAACUGUAUUAAUAUUCCUUAUUGGACUUUGAGCUCAUUCCCCUUUGUUGAGAAUUUUUUUUGGUAUUCUCAGUUUGGGCAAGGAGUGAUGACUGGGUUGGGGAAUUUUCUUUACUAUGAUUUUGGUUCAAUCUUUAUUUUGGACAUUGUAAUUUAAUUCCCAUUUAAAUUAUUUGGGUUUGGAGUUAUUUGGACGAUAACACUUUGAUUGAUGUGUUAGUUUUAAAGUUGAGAAUUGAAAAUUAUAGAAUUUAUUUAUCUUUCUACUUUGAAUAGAAAUUUAGUAAUUGGAGAUCAUCCAGUUACAAGAUGAAUAUUAGAUGAAUAUUUGUGUCGUUUCCACAUUGAGUGUUCAGGCUUAGGGUGUGAAAUGACCGUUAUGCCCUUGGAGUGGGUAUAUUGUUUAUUUGAAUUUAAUGGUCCCCGAACUCCUUAAUUACUCAUAACUUUAUAUCACCUUCUCAAAGUUAAGUUGUUUUACAACUACUAUCUAGCUACUUUUCUCUACUAUGACAACUUUAUUACAUAGUGAUUAAUUGAAAGAAUCUACAUGUCUUAUUUCAUAGGAUAGUUGAUUUUUUUACUCAAUGAAUCUUGCUUUUAUUAUUGAAAAUUUCAAAUCAUUGUAGUCCAACAAUUUACUAUCCUUUGGUAAUUUCAUAUUACAUUUCCAAAGUCUAAUCAUUUAAAAACACUUGUAGUUAAUAUAUUGGCAAUUGCAUUGUGGGAAGUUGUUCACUUGAUUUUAAUGUUGAAACUUUCAAAUUGUUGUAGUCCAACAAUUCCCUAUCCAUUGGUAAUUUCAUAUCACAUUUUCAAAGUAUAAUCAUUUACAAAUACUUGUAUAUAGUAUAUUUGGUGAUUGUAGAGUGGAAAGUUGAUCGUUUUCAUGAAGACCUCUAAAAUAGAAAUUUUUUUCAUUCCAUUUAAUAAAGAAUUUCAUUAAUUGAACAUAUAUGUUUUUUUAACCGGAAAGUAGAGGCCACAUUAUACGAGGCCUUAGGUGACAAUACUAGGUGAGGGUUUUUUUUUUUAAUUUAUUUAUUACUAAAUAUAAAUAAUAUUAUUUAUUGUAUAAUAAAGAUUAUUAUAAUAUAUUUUUUAUAGAUGAAAAAAAUAUUAAUUGAGUUUUAUUUUUUUAAAAUAAUUGUUUUCAAUAAAUAACUUAUUUGUAAAAAGAAAACUAUAAAAUAUAUGCAUUUGAAAAAUAUUUAAUUUUUAUUUGAUUUAGUAUCAAUUAAUAUUUGUAAUAUUUUUUAAUAUUAUAGAAGUUAACAUACUCAAUCAAGAUAUUCAAGAUCAAGAGAAUAUUUAAGAUUGAAUUAAUUUCUUUAUUGUUUAUGUUUUAGUAAAUUUUUAUAUCCAUUACAAAUUUUUUAUUGUUUAUUUUUCAUUCAAUGUUUGCAUUUUUUAAUAGAUAUUAAAACGAUUUUUUUUCUUGUAUGUUAAAAAAAUAUUUCAAUGUCUUUAAAAAUAAAAUAUUGCAGUAAAAUCAAAAUUACAUUGUGAAACUUUAAGCGAAUGUUUUAUACUUAAGAAGUGCCAAUUAAAGUAAGCAUGCAUCUACAAUUGUAAUUUAGAUGUCAUACUGAAACAAUAGUUCUCUUUGACUAUAUCAUAAAAUUUGGUUCGAAUUACUUUAAGUCGUCUUGUAGAUUUUCAAGUUCCAAUGAUAUGCAUCAAGUAUGUGCAACAUACUUGAUAUAACUAAUAUUUUCUUAAGUAAUUGGACACUUUUUUCUAUAAAUUUACUUGAUUAUCAAUGAAUACUUUUAUGUAAGGUAUUGAUAUAAUUCGAUAAAUAUUUUAAAAUAGUAUUAGAAUAGCUUUGCUCUUUCCCAAUUAACAAAUUUACUAAAUUAACUUAUAUAUAUUUGUUUAUUUGAAUUUACUGGUAUUUGACUCAAAUUGUUAUUAUUUUUAAAAUUAUAGGAAAACCAUUAUUUAUAGAGUUUAAUUAUAUUUGGUAAAUUAUCUUUUUAAGUUUGGCUAGGAUUAGGAAACUAUUAAUUUAAGAUUAAUCCAUAAGGCUCUAUAAAUUUGCAGUUUUAUUUAGGAUUUAAAAAAAGAAAGAAAAAGUAAGAAAAAGUGAAGAGAGAUAGGCAAAGAGUGCAUUGGGUUUUAAAUAAAGAAAGGUUGAGAGAGUUUUGAUUACUACUCAAAAAGAACAUAUUUUAGAUAGUAAUUCUCAUGGGUUUCACAUCUUUUGAGUAUUAAUUAUGCCUAAAAAUGCUCAAUUAACAUGUUGUUGCCUUUGCAAGAGUUACUAACAAGUUUUAUAAAGUUUUGGAGUCAUUUCAAGUUAUGAUUUUAAUAAAUUGGUGACGAAAGAGAUGAAUUGAUUUGAAGAAGGCAAAUAAUAUUGAUGAUGAUCCAAAUGCAUAAUGAAAGAAGCAAUAUAAUUAGUUUGAUCGGGAUUUGCUGCUAAUUUGGAGGUAGUUAAGGUGGAGUCAAAAGAAGAAAAUGGAAGAAAUGACAAAGAGGAGCUUAAAAACCAAAUGUUGCAGAUUUGUAUGAUCAUGCAAAAAUUACAUGACUAUGCGAAAUGGAUUAGAGAAGGAAAAUUGACUAUAGUAUAAGGAGGAUGCUUAAGUUGAUUUCGCAUGAACAUGCGAAAAUUUUGCACAAUCAUGCGAAAUGGUCCAGAAAGCUCUCUAAUGUUGUUGUUGCUCCACUAAUUUCACACCACCAUGCGAAAUUGAUCUUUUCAUGCAAAAUGGCUGAAGCUCAUGUGAAAUCAUGAUUUUGAUGCUAAACUCUAGAUUUGUGAAUUUGGAAGGUUUUAGAAGAUCAAUGAGAAGUUGCCAAGUGUCCACUUGACCUUGGUCUAUAAAUAGAAACUUGAAUUUCCCAUGUAAAGAGCUUUGUGAUACUUUUGAUUUUAGAUUUUUCUAGGAACUCUUUCUCUAAAUAGAAUUCUAUAUUUUCUUUAAUUUUCUCUCAUUUUCUCAUUCGCCAAACAUGCCUAGUGAGACCAAAUCUCCAAGUAUGAGUGGCUAAAUCUCGUUUUUCUCAAAGGAAUGAGGAUCUAGAGUCAAGAUCUAUGGUGAAUUAUAGAAAUGAGUUUUAAUCGGAAAUGCAAUUUGAUUCAAUUGAUUGAUUAAUUGAAAUUUGAGGAUUUUUCUCUUCAAAUUAUCCUAAAUGACUAUUACAUUGCAAACUAGGUAGAUUCAUUAAAUUCUUAAAGCUAGAUUUAAUGAGACUGAAUAGUUGCAUUGUAUGAAUCAUUGGAAGAUAAUUUAAGAUGAAUUGAAUAUAUAAUUUAAAUUGAUCUCUUGGAUUAAAUAACCUAAUUUGAAGAGAAAUUAGGUUUAGACUUAAAGGUAAAUCUAAAAUCGAUUUAGAUAAGAAUUUAGGUUUUCAAUCUAACUUGAUGAAAAAUAAAUCUCAACAUCUAUUCACCAUGGAAAUUGUUUUCUAAAAAAUAUUAACUCCGAGAAUUCCUUUUCCUUAUCAAUUUUCUUAUAUUCUACAUUAUAUUGUUCUUUUCGAUUAGAAAUCAUUGUUAUUUUGAUUUUUCAUGAAUUGUCAAAUCAAUUUCACUUGACCAUAAUCAUUUCUUUUCCUCCCAUUUAAGCCUUAAUUAUCGAGAAUAAUCCAUCCCAAUAGAAGACACCUAAGACCACUAUACUACCGUAGCUUUUGCUAAAAAACCUUUUUGAUCGGGCAAGAGUUACCUUAGCAUAGUUGAAUUAGGUUAUAAUUUUUUUAUCCAAUAAACAACAAAAAAAAUCAAUCGAUCAAGUUUGCAUUGUGUAUUCUUGAAUUUUAUUAAUAAAUUUGAUCCCCCUUUUUGAAGCGAUUACACCAAACCAAGUAAAUAUUUUAUAUACUUCAUUUGCUUUAUUUUUUCUAUUAAGUUUAGGUGUUGCAAUUUUCAAGAGUCAUGGUGAGAAGAUUGUGGGAAAAAUUAUUUUAAGGAUGGAGUCGAACAUAAAAUAUGAAAUUGAGUCCUUUGAUGGAAAUAAUAAUUUUAAUAUUUGAUAGAGUAUUAUUAAAGAUGUUUUGAUACAACAAAGACUUCUCAAAGCAUUACAAGGCAAAAAAACUAGAGAGCAUGACAAAUAAAGAAAUGAAAGAAUUAGAAGCAAGAGUUGUAAGUACUAUUUGUUUAAGUCUUAAAAAUGAAAUACAUUGUUUUGAAUGAAAAAAAUAUUCUUUUAGGGGUGUCAAUUGCUCUUUUAGAGACCAAAAAUAUUAAGCAGUCAAGUAGUUCAUCUCAUAUUGGACAAACUGUUAUGAUGAAUUCUAAACCACAUCAUCAUAGGAGUAAAUCGAAAGAAAGUAUCUGAUAGGAGGAUGAUCAUUCCAUUCACACUUAUGGAGGAAUAUGAAGUAUUAUUACUGUGAAAAAAAAAACAUAUCAGGAGAUAUUGUAAAGAAUUGAUGAAGUACCUAGAAGAAAUGAAAAUUUUUAAAUCCCAAGAGACUUCAAAUUUUACUAAUAUUGUUGAUGAAAAUUUUGAAAUAUUGUAGUAAAUUAAAAGUUACAUUAUGGGACUUUUAGUGAGUGUUUUAUGUUGAAGAAAGGCUAAUUAAAGUAAACAUGCAUCUAAAACUAUAAUUUAGAUGUUGUACUCAAAUAGUUGCUCUCCUCGAUUAUAUCAUAAAAUUUGGUUUGAAGUCUAAGUCAUCUAAUAAUUUUCUAAUUCAAAUUGCAUGCAUCAAACAUGUGUGUUAGGAAGUGUUGCAAAUUACUAAUUAAUAUAGAUUCUUUUUUUUUUUAAAGAAUAUUGUAUUGAAUAUUUCUAGGUUGAUAUAUUAUUGUAAUAUUAGACUUUCUUAUAGAAUAAGGAAGGUUGUUGAAAAUAUCCCUAUAAAUAUUCUAGUUCAUAAGGGGAAAAAGUUAUGAGAUGAAGAUGGACCCAUAAAGACUAUACAAGGUGGAUAGAGACGUGAAGAAAAACGAGAGGUACCCGGUGGAGCGAGAGGGCUCGUGGUAGGGUAUAGGUACAAAGAGUGAGAAAACAUGGGAUGUUUUGGGAACCCAAUAAUUGUAUCUGGUUAUGUCCUCUAUAAGUUCUAGUCCUGUCAUCUGCAUUGUUCUCUAUUUUAUAGUGGAAUGAUUCUCUUUUAUCUGUGGACGUGGGCAUGGUUUUCGAACCAUGUUAAAACCUUGUGUACCGUUUGUGUUGAUUUUUUUUUUUAUCUUUAUUUUAUUGAUUAAUGAAGUUUGCAUCAAAGCUUCUGUCAACGUAACAAACUUGUAUCAAAGCUUGGGUUAAAGAUUUCUAGAAGAGUAAAAGAUCAUAGAGCACACAAGAUGAAAACAAAAGGAAUUUUUAGUGAAAAUGGAGUCAAUUGCUCUCUCAUGGUGAUAUGAUAUAAAAAGUUUGUGUCAUGGAAAGUUUGAAGAUUUACUUCAUGGAAUCUGGUCCAAAAUGGAGAUUGUUAAUAAGUAUCCCAAAUUCCUAAUUAGUUUAGAUUUUUUUUUUUUGUAAAGAAUAUUGUAUAGAAUAUUUCUAGGUUAAUAUAUUAUUGUAAUAUUAGACUUCCUUAUAGAAUAAGGAAGGUUGUUGAAAAUAUCUUUAUAAAUAUUCUAGGUCAUGAGGGAAAAAAGUUAUGAGAUGAAAUGGGCCUGUAAAAACUAUAUGAGGUGGAUAGAGAUGUGAGGAAGAACAAGAGGUACUCAAUGGAAUGAAAGGGCUCGUGGUAGGGUAUGGAUACAAAGAGUGGGGAAAUAUGGGAUGUUUUGGGAACCUAAUAGUUGUAUCUGGUUCUGUCAUCUAUAAUGUUCUAGUUAUGUCCUCUAUAAUUGAUUCGUUCCCAAUUGGUGUCUCAGCUGAUUCAUGUCCUCUCCAUGGUCCCUGAUAGUGGUGCCAUUUGAUUCAUGUCCAGCUGGUGUCCCUUGAUUUUGGUCUUCAGGGAGUAAUCAACAAAAUUUAUAACCUAUUACACCAUGUACUAGGAUAGCCUUAGCUAGCAUAGCAUAGUGGCUCUAGGGUCGUUCACUGGGAUGGGUUUUCACUUCACAAUUGAUAUUAAUUCAAAGAUGAAUUGGUGCUUUUUCAUUUCAAGGUUAGCUUUAAAAGAAAACAUAAAGAUGUUUGAAUGAAAAAGGUUUUGUUUUAAACUAACCAAAAAUAAUAACUGAUUUUACUUACAAAGAAAAGUGUUUCUUGGAGUUUAGAUCACUGGGCUCAGAUUCCUUGUACAAAAAGGGAGUUCCGGUCACUUGUUUCUUUUCCUCGCAUUAGAGAAUUAACAUAUAGUUAAUUCUCUAACCGGUGUGGUACAGAUGCUUCCCCUUAAUGGGUUCAAACACUAAAUCCCUCUCACUGAUGCAACUUGCAAUGGCUCGUGCCUCUCACCUAGCAUUUGCCAUUCAAGGUGAUCUUUAACCUUGGAUUACCCUUCACAAGCUCGCAAGAGAUAACUAAUGGAUGUCUCCUUAGAGUCCAAAAGCUUACCAAGUGUUGGCAAUUCUAGAAAAUCAUACCUUCAAACCACCUCCCAAAAGCUCGCAAGAGGUAAACCAGUGCAUCUCCAUUGACGGAGAUCACUUGCCUAACCAAGUGUUGGCUCAAGUGAAUUGAAGGUGUUUUAAGUUAACUAAAAAGAUAAAAACCAUUAACGGGUCACACUUUCUCUUCAUUAAAAACUAAAACAACAAAACUUCCAAUUUAUGCAUGAGGAAACUUACCCGGCUUUCUUUCACUCCAAGAGACGAAGAGCCUAGCCUCUCAUCCUCUGAGAAAAAAUCCUCAGAGUUUGAUUGGCUAGAAAGAAAACUAACGAGAAAACAAAAAUAUAUAUAAGAAGCAGAGCAAAAGCUCUGUUCGUUGAUUACAUAUAUGAUAUAUGAUAUAUGAUGGAUCCUCUUCUUUACAUUGGUUCAAAGAUAUAUAUAGAGAAGAUAUUUUCUAAGAAAUAUCCCAAUAAUAUCUUUGACUAAUUACAAGGAGAAAAUAGAAAUUUACACAAAAUAUCUUGAGAGAAAAAAUCUAACUUAGUCGGUGGCAAAUAUCAGGAAGCUUCAGGAGAAUAUCGCGUCACUGUGCAAAAAUCCGGGUAAUCUGAAAUGCCGGCCGCGGAUGCUCUCCGGGUUAGCGCUAUUAGAAGAUCCGGACAUGCCUGUCUGGGGAGGUUGAAAUGCCUCUUCUUCCAUCCGGCGUCAGGCGUCGGAUUUGAAAUAUCUGAUCAGAGGAUCCUGACAUGUCUGACCGAACAGAAUUUCAGAUGUGAGAUAUCCGGACGUCGCAAGGGGGACCGUUUGCGUGUACAAGGUGUAGAGACCCUUCCCCCUGAUGACACGGAGCACGCAUCGCUAUCCAGAGCAACUCCAUCCGGAUUUCCCAAGAGGACACGCACCGCCAUGCUAUCCGGCACUCGUGAACAUCACACUCCGGAUGAUAGCAUAUCCUAUCCGGAUAUGUUGUCUGGAUCAUUGACUAAAGUGAGCAAGCCUUACUACAGCCCACGUUCCGCCGCUCUUCCAAUGGUGUGUCCGGACGCCCUGUCUGGACAUCUUUUUCCAUGGAUUCCAAAGAACUCUCCUCAAUCUCGGAUUGCUUUGGUGAUAAAAAAGCUAUCAAAACACCAAAACUUAACACAAUUUGAUUAGAAUUGAUUGCAAGGGUCCUUAAUAUGUUAAUUGGGUUAAAAAGUGAUAACUACUACUCAAAAGUGUUUAAAAGAGUUAAUUACAAGCUAUGAAAUAACACUUUUUGAGUAGUAAUCAAUAAUGUUCUCUAUUGUAUAGUGGAAUGAUUCUCUUUCAUUCGUGGAUGUAGGCAUGGUUGUCGAACCACAUUAAAACCUCGUGUACUGUUUGUGUUUUUUUUUUAAAAAAAAUUAAUCUUUGUUUCUUGAUUAAUGAUGUGUGCAUCAAAGCUUCCAUCUACGUAACAAACUGGUAUCAGAGCUUGGGUUGAAGAUUUUUGGAAUAGUAAAAGAUCACAAAGCACACAAGAUGAAAACAAAAGGAAUUUUUAGUGAAUGUGGAGUCAAUUGUUCUCUCAUGGUGAUAUGAUACAAAAAGUUUGUGUCAUGGAGGGUUUAAUGAUUGACUCCAUGGAAUUUGGUCCAAGGUAGAGAUUGUUAGGAAGUGUCCCAAAUUCCUAAUUAGUAUAGAUUUUUUUUUUAUAAAGAAUCUUGUAUAGAAUAUUUCUAGGUUGAUAUAUUAUUGUAAUAUUAGACUUCCUUAUAGAAUAAUGAAGGUUGUUGGAAAUAUUUUUAUAAAUAUUUUUAGUCAUGAGGGGAAAAAGUUAUGAGAUGAAGAUGAGCCUAUAAAGACCAUACGAGAUGGAUAGAGAUAUGAGGAAGAAUCGAAGGUACCCAGUGGAGCAAGAGGGCUCGUGGUAGGGUAUGAAUAUGAAGAGUGGGGAAACAUGGGAUGUUUUGGGAACCCAAUAGUUGUAUCUAGUUUUGUCAUCUAUAAUGUUCUGGUUCUGGCAUCUAUAAUGUUCUGGUUUUGUCCUAUGUAAUGUUCUUUAUUGUAUAGUGGAAUUAUUAUCUCUCAUCUGUGUAGACAAGUUGCUAAACCACGUUAAAACCUCGAAUACCAUUUGUGUUGAUUUUUUUUAUCUUUGCGUUCUUGAUUAACGAUGCUUGCAUCAAAGCUUCUACCAACGUAACAAUGUGCAACAUAUUUGAUAUAACUUAUAUUUUCUUAAGUAAUUGAACACUUUUUCUAUAAAUUUACUUGAUUAUCAAUGAAUACCUACAUAUACGGUAUUGACAUAGUUUGAUAAAUAUUUUAAAAUAGUAUUAGAAUGGCUUUUCUUUUUCCCAAUUAACAAAUUUAUCAAAUAUAUACAUACACACACACACACACACAUAAUACUCAUUAGUAUGUCUUUUAUGAAAAAACUAUAUUUGUUUAUUUGAAUUUAGUAGCCAUUCAACUCCUUAGUUACUCAUAAACUUUUUAUCACCUUCUUAAAGUCAAGUCAUUUACAAUUAUUUCUAUCUAGCCUUCUCCAUUAUAACAACUUUAUAAGAUAGUGAUUGAUUGGAAGAAUCUACAUGCCUUUGUUGAUAGGAUAAUUGUUUUUCUUUUUUUUUCGUAUUCAAAGAAUCUUGCUUCUGUUAUUGAAACUUUCAAAUCCUUUAUGUCAAGUUGUCUUAUAAUUCCCUAUUCAUUGGUCUUUCAUAUUACCAAUCAUUUUGAAAAUGAGUUAAUUUCAUUCACAUCCUCUGAGAUUUGAUGUAAAUUCGCUUAGUUACCAAUGAUUUCAAAUUUCAUUAAUUAGUACCCCUAUAGAUGUAAUUUGUGUACAAAAUUUAUUUUUUAAAAGAGUUUAGGUAAAAAUAUUUUAGGUAUAUGUCUUUAACAAUUCUCUAAAAUAAAUUUUACUUGCUAAAAAAUAACUUAUAUAGAUAGAAUACAUCUACAGGAGUUCUAACUAACGAAAUUUAAAACUAAUGGUGGUUUAGUGUAUUUAAACUAAACAUUAGGAAGGGUGACUGAAAUUAACCCUCUAGGUAUAUAUGUUUAACAAAAUUUUUAUUGUUUAUUUUUCAUUUAAUGUUUGCAUUUUUCAAUAAACAUUGAAAAGGAAUUGUUUUUCCAUAUGUUAACAAAAAGAAAUUUGAACACCUAUAAAAAUAAAAUCUUGUAGCAAAAUUGGAGUUACAUUAUCAGACUUUUAAUGAGUGUUUAUGUUUAGAAAGACCAAUUAAAGCAAGCAUGCAUCUAGAAAUUGUAACUUAGAUGCAUCAAACAUGAGCAACAUAUUUGAUAUAACCAAUAGUUUCUUAAGUAACUAAACACUUCUUUUUCUAUAAAUUUACUUGAUUAUCGAUGAAUACUUACAUAUAUUUACAUAGUUUGAUAAAUAUUUUAAAAUAAUAUUAGAAUAACUUUGUUUUUUCUCAAUUAUAUUAGAAAAUAAUAUAAAGUUACUUAUAAACUUUAUAUCAUUUUCUCAAAGUCAAGUCAUUUACAAUUAUUUCUAUCUAGCCUUCUCCAUUAUGACAACUUUUAUAUGAUAGCCGUUGAUUGGAAGAAUCUACAUGUCUUUUUUGAUAGGAUAGUUGUUUUUAUUUUUUUAUUUUUUUUAUUCCAAAAAUUUGCUUCUAUCAUUGAAACUUUCAAAUCUUUUAUGUAUAUUACCAAUCAUUUUACAAGUGAGUUAAUUUCACUUAGGGUAGAUAUACUUAGCCACACCCCUAUAGAUGUAAUUUGUGUUUAAAUUUUAUUUUUUAUUUAGGUAAAAAUAUCUUAGGUAUAUGUGUUCAACAAUUCUCUAAAAAAUAAAUUUUCUUAUCUAAAAGUUUAUAUAGACAAAAUACAUCUAUAGAAGUCCUAAUUAAUGAAAUUUAAAAUUAAUGGUUGUUUAGUGUAUUUACAUUAAACCUUAUGGGGUAUGAUUGAAAUUAACUCUUUUACAAGCACUUGUAGCUAAUAUGUUUGUAGUUGUAGUGUUGGAAAUUGAUCAUUUUCUUGAAGGCCUCUAAGAUAUUGAAAAUAUUGCCAUAGUUUUAGACUUUUUUUUAUUACACCUAAUAAAAAAUAUUAUUAAUUUAACAUAUAUAUUCUUGACUUAAAAGUAAAGUCUCUCCAUAUUGUAUAAGCCCUUAGGUGGCAAUAUUAGGUGAAGUUUUUCUUUCGUUUAUUACAAAAUAUAAAUAAUUUAUUAUUGUAUGAUAAAAUUUUAUGUAAUAUAUUUUUAUAGAUGUAAAAUUAUUAAUUGGGUUUUUUUUUUACUAAAUUGUCAUUUCAAUAUAUAAAACUUAUUUGUAAAAAGACAAUUAUAAACUAUAUGAAAUUGAAAAACAUUUAGUUUUUUUAUUUAAUUUAGAAUUUUAUUUGGAUUAAUAAUUGAUAUUUGUAAGAUUUUUUAAUAUUAAAAAAAGUUAGCAUACUUAAGAAAGAUAUUCAAGAUCGGGAGUGUUUGAUAUUGGAUUAAUUUCCUUAUUUUCUCUAUUUUAAUAAAUUUUCACGUCCAUUACAAAAUUUUUGUUGUUUAUUUUUCACUUCAAUAUUUUUAUUUUGUAAUAGACAUUUGAAAAGAUUUUUUCCUACAUGUUAAAAAAAAAAAUAUUUGAACACUCCUAAAAAAGAAUAUUGCUAUAAAAUUAAAGUUUACAUUGUAGGACUAUUAGCAAAUGCUAUAUACUUAAAAUAGACCAAUUAAAGUAGAAAUACUUCUAAAAUUGUAAUUUAGGUAACAAUAAUAUAAAAAGAUAAUAUUUUUGAAACAAUAGUUCUCUUGGAGUUUUGGGUACGAUGGACUAGACUUUAUGUACAAUAGAUAUACAAACUUUCCAUUAACAUCUUGAGAGACAUGAUGAGGAGCAAAGUCAUCCAAGAAGGUACCAUAGAGGUACCUUAGCUCCAUUCAUCUAGACUACAUAAUGUUUAAAGAUCAAAUUCAAUGACUAGAUUUCAAAAAUCAAUAUAAGCUUUCUCAUAUUCUACUCUAUAUAAGACAAUGGUAUGAUACCUCUCUUGUGUCGUAGAAUGCACCAUGAAAACCUUAUCAUUUUAACAUCAGUUUGAAACUUAAAAGUCACUUAGCACAUUCUAGUUAUUAAUCUAAGAGCAUUAAAAGAAAAUAUAAAAAAAGUUACUUUAUCCUUGUGAUUUUGAUUUAGGACUUUUAAUGAUAUUAAAAAAAAAAAACAAAACAGAAAAAUAAAUGGAAAUAAAAUCAACAAAUUAAACAAUUGAAUUAAGUUAGUUUAAUUCUUGCAUCGUUAAAUGGGUAAAUAAAGACUCUUAGAUUUGAUAUUAAUAUGAACAUCAUGACUUCAGUGAAUCUUACAAGAAAAUUUUAGUUUGAAAGACUUCAUUCAUUAAACGUGUGGCACAUAUUAAAGUAAAACUAAGUCUUCUCUAUAAUUUGUACCUAUCAUAGUUUCUUUCCUUAUAAAUAGCCUUUUUUGAAUAUAAUAUAGACUUCAACAUGCAUGGUGGGGCCAAUCAAACUACUAGUCAAGACAACUCAUGGGCAACAACGAUGUACCAACUACAUUUAAAUACUCUUCAUCUAUUUACAUAUCAAGAGUAAUUUAGUAGUGUCUUAUUUAUGUACCUCAUAUCUAGACUUUCAAUGGAGAGUUCUUCAUCUAAAAAUUUGACUUGGGUUUUCAUACUAGUUUUGGUUUAGACAUGUGGAUGCAAAGGUUGCAUCAAAGAAGAGAAGUAGGCUAAAUCAUCUUACAAAUUUUAUAGUUCAAAUUAGAUGCACCAAACAUAUGCAACAUAUUUGAUAUAACUAAUAUUUUCUUAAGUAAUUGAAUACAAUUUUUUUUUUAAAUUUACUUGAUUAUUAAUGAAUAACUACAUGUAUGGUAUUGACACAACAUGAUAAAUCUUUUAAAAUAGUAUUAGAAUAACUUUGCUAAAAAAAAGUAAAAAUAAAAAUAAAAAUACAUCUAUAUAUAAAAUUAAAUUAAAUUAAAAAUUAAAAAAGAAUAUAUAUUCUCUGUGUGUGUGUGUGUGCAUGGUCCCACAACUCAUUAGCUACUCAUAAGCUUUAUAUCACUUUCUCAAAGUCAAGUCAUUUUGUAAUUAUUUCUAUCUAGCCUUCUCCAUUACGACAACUGUAUAGGAUAUUGAUUGGUUGGAAAAAUCUUCAUGUCUUUUUUUAUAAGAUAGUUUUUUUAUUAUUAUUAUUAUUCAAAGAAUUUGCUUUUAUUAUUGAAACUUUCAAAUCCUUUAUGUCUAGUGGUCCUACAAUUCCCUAUUCAUUGGUAUUUCAUAUUACCAAUCAUUUUACAAAUAAGUUUAUUUCACCCGGUAAAUAUACUUAACUACUAAUGGUUUCAAAUUUAAUUGAUUAACACACUUAUAGAUGUAAUUUGUUUUUAAAUUUUAUUUUUUUAGAAGAAUUGUAGGUAAAAAUGUUUUAGGAAUAUGUGUUCAAUAAUUCUCUAAAAACAAUUUAUAUAGAUGGAAUACAUUCAUGUAAGUUCCAACUAAUGAAAUUUAAAACUAAUGACAAUUUAAUGUAUUUGCACUAAAUCUUAGGGGAGGUGUACUAAAACUAGCCCUUUUACAAAUAUUUGAUAUGAAAUUAAUUAAUUAAUUUUUUCUAUUUAAAUAAAUUUUUGCAUCCAUUAAUAAAAUUUUAUUGUUUAUUUUUCACUUCAAUAUUUUUAUUUUGUAAAAUAAAUAGAAAUAAAAUCAACAAAUUAAAAAAUUGAAUUAAGUUAGUUUAAUUUUGCCACCUUUAAAUUGGUAAAUGAAGACUCUUAUAUUUGAUAUUAACAUGAACAUCAUGACUUUAUUGAAUCUCACAAGAAAAUUUUAGUUUGAAAGAUUUUAUCCUUUAAACAUGUGACACAUAUUAAAGUGAGACCAAGUCUUCCCUAUAAUUUGUAUCUAUCACAAUUUCUUUCCUAAUGAAUAGCCUUUUUGAAUAGAAUAUAGACUUUAGCAUGCAUGGUGGGGCCUAGCUAUCAAACUACUAGUCAAAACAACUCAUGGGCAAGAAUGAUGUACCAACUAGAUUAAGUAUUCUCCAUCUAUUUGCAUAUCAAGAGUAAUUUAGUAGUAUCUUUCUUGUGUACCUCAUUUCUAGACUUUCAAUGGAGAGUUUUUUAUCUUAAAAUUUGACGUGGGUUUUCAUACUAGUCUUGGUUCAGAUAUGUGAAUGCAAAGGUUGCAUCAAAGAAGAGAAGUAGGCUAAGUCAUCUUACAAAUUUUCAAGUUCAAAUUAGAUGCAUCGAACAUGUGCAACAUAUUUGAUAUAACUAAUAUUUUACCAAGCAACUAAAUACUUUAUAUAUAUAUAUAAAUUUAUUGAUGAUCAAUGAAUACCUACAUGUAUGGUAUUGACACAGUUUGAUAAAUCUUUUAAAAUAGUAUUAGAAUAACUUUGCUAAAAAAAGUAAAAAUAAAAUAAAAUAAAAUAUAUAUAUAUAUAUAUAUAUAAAUAAACAAAAUAAAAAAUUUAAAAAGAAUAUAUAUAUUAGUGGUCCCACAACUCAUUAGCUACUCAUAAGCUUUAUAUCAUUUUCUUAAAGUCAAGUCAUUUACAAUUAUUUCUAUAUAGCCUUCUCCAUUGCGACAACUGUACAAUAUAUUAAUUGAUUGAAAAAAUCAUCAUGUCUUUUUUGAUAGGAUAGUUUUUUUUUUAUUCAAAGAACUUUCAAAUUCUUUAUGUCUAGUGGUCCUACAAUUCCCUAUUCAUUGGUAUUUCAUAUUACCAACCAUUUUACAAAUAAGUUAAUUUCACUCGAUAAAUAUACUUAACCACCAAUGGUUUCCAAUUUGUAGCAUUCUUAUAGAUGUAGUUUGUUUUUAAAUUUUAUUUUUUAGAAGAAUUGUAGGUAAAAAUAUUUUAGCUAUAUAUGUUCAACAAUUCUCUAAAAACAAUUUAUAUAGAUGGAAUACGUUCAUGGAAGUUCCAACUAAUGAAAUUUAAAACCAAUGAUGAUUUAAUGUAUUUGUACUAAAUCUUAGGGAGUGUGGACUAAAAUUAGCCCUUUUACAAAUAUUUAUAACUAGUAUAUUUGUAGUUGUGGUAUUGGAAGUUGAUCAUUUUCUUAAAAGGUUUACCAUUGAAGUUAGUUGAAUAUAAAGUUAGGUGAACUUUACCAUUGUUAAAUUGGUAAAUGAAGACUCUUAGAUUUGAUACUAACAUGUACAUCAUGACUUCAUUGAAUCUCUCACAAGGAAAUUUUAGUUUGAAAGACUUCAUCUUUUAAACAUGUGGCACAUAUUAAAGUGAGACCAAGUCUUCCCUAUAAUUUGUAUCUAUCACAAUUUCUUUCCUCAUAAAUAGCCUUUUUGAAUAGAAUUAAUAUAGACUUUAGCAUGCAUGAUGGGCCCUAUCAAACUAUUAGUCAAGAUAAUUUGUAGGUAAGAACGAUGGACCAACUAUAUUAAAUACUCUUCAUCUAUUUGCAUAUCAAGAGCAACUUAAUAUUGUCUUUCUUUUGUACUUCAUGUUUGAACUUUCAAUGGAGAGUUUGUCAUCUAAAUAUUUGAUGUGGGUUUUUAUACUACUCUUGGUUCAAAUAUGUGGAUGCAAAGGUUGCAUCGAAGAAGAGAAGAUGGGUUUGCUUGAAUUCAAGGCUUUUCUUAAAUUGAAUAAUGAGCAUGCAGAUUUUCUUCUCCCUUCAUGGAUAGAUAACAACACUAGUGAAUGUUGUAAUUGGGAGCGGGUUAUUUGCAAUCCCACCACAGGUCGAGUUAAGAAGCUUUUCUUCAAUGAUAUAACGCGACAACACUUGGAAGACAAUUGGUACUAUUACGAAAAUGUCAAAUUCUGGUUACUAAAUGUCUCCUUAUUCCUUCCUUUUGAAGAACUUCACCAUCUAAACUUGUCUGCAAACUCAUUUGAUGGGUUUAUUGAGAAUGAAGGUAUGUUACCUCUCACCUUUAAAUUUUCUUUUCACUUAUACUCCAAACAUUCUAAAGGAACUACUAGCAUAUGUUCUUAAAAGUGUUCAGGUGGAGAACAAAUGGUCACUAGUAACUAUUGAAUUUAAUAUAAGAACAAUUACUAAUUAUUAAAAUUUAUAAUGUAAAUUAACAUUUAAACAGAACAAUAAAAAAAUUAUUAUUUUAGAAAACUAUAGAUUACAUUAGCCUUAUAUAUAUAAGCAUACUUGUUAUUUAUGUCAUCAUUUCACACUCAACCCAAUAAGUGGGAUUCAACUAAGAGUGAGCAAUUUCACAAUUAUUAAUUAACAGGAACACUUAGGCUCCCAUAUCCUUAUCAUUUUUGCUGAAUUGUCUUUCCUUAUCUUCCAUUCCUAAAAAGCUUGAUUUCUAUAUUCCAAAUUGAUAGAGAUUGGUUAAAGAAAGGUGAUCACAAAAUUUGACUAUUGCUUUCAAAUGAGGAAUCACCAUCUUCAAAAUUUCACAUUUACAAAAAAAAUAAAUAAAAUAAAUAAAUAAAUAAAACUAGCCUCGGGUAAGGUCCAAGCCUUAUUGUUUUAAGCUGAUGUCAGAUUGGUUUAAUAAUGAACAGAGUAAAUCCUAACCCAUGACCAUCUACGCAUUUCCAAAUUCCACCCAUCCACAACCCAUUAAUAUGACAUUUUCAGGGACAAAAUUUAAUCAAUUAAACCUAUUAGAUGGAUUCUCCAUACAAUGUUAAAAUGAAUAUAAAAACUUUAAUUCAAAAAAUAAUUUCCUUUAUUUAGUUAGGAUUCAAAUUAUAGGGGCACAAAACAUGAAAAUUUUCAUGUUUAAAAUUCACAAAGAUCACAAAAGCUCUUUGAAGCUCUAUGGACUUUUUUAUUUCUAACAUUUAAACACAAAAAUCACCAAAUUUAAUUAGAGAUUUGGAUGCAUAUUCUUAUAUUAAAGACAUGUAAGCUUACAUAUUUAAAUAUGAAGAUCUCAACUUGUAAUUACAUGCUUCUAAUUAAAGUUAUAUUACUCUAUUUUACAGGAUUUAAAGGGUUAUCAAGUUUAAAGAAAUUGGAGAUCUUGGACAUAAGUGGUAAUGAGUUUGACAAAAGUGCCUUAAAAUCUUUGGGCACAAUAACAUCACUCAAGACAUUGGCUAUUUGCAGCAUGGGACUGAAUGGAUCUUUUUCCAUUCGAGGCAUGUUAUAUGUCCACAUUGUUUCUUUGAAAUUAAGUAAAAUAUAUUUCUAACUUUUAAUGUUCCUUAGUUAAUCUCUCUUUUGAUUCAUGUUUGUUGCAGACUUAGCUAGUUUGAGAAAUUUGGAAGUGUUGGAUCUAAGCUAUAAUCAUUUGGAAAGCUUUCAACUAUUGCAAGGUACUUCAUUAACUUGCUAAAAAAACUUACGAUAUUUUGUUAUUAAAUUAAAGGUAAGAUUAACAAACAAUUUCUUCUCAUUAGUUACUUUUCUUUGUAAUAUCAUUAAAUUUGAUAUAAUGUAGUCUAAAUCAUCCUUUCAAUUUAUAAGUUUUAAUUAAAACGCAUCAAGCAUGCACAAGAUGUUUAAUAUAACUAAUAUUUUCAUAAGUAAUUGAAUUUUUUUUAUGAAUUAAUUAACUUGAUUAUCAAUAAAUGCUUACAUGUAUAAGAUUAAUAUAGUUUCAUAAGUAUUUUAAAAUUGUCUUACAACACACACACACACACACAAGGAAAAUGAAAGGUAUGUGAUACCUUUAUGCUAUGUUUGGUUCUCAAAAAAAAUUGAGGGAAAAUGAAAGGAGAAAAAAAUAGAGAGGAAAAGUAAAAGAAAAGAAAAGAAAAAAAGUGAAGAAAAAUAUAAAAUUGAUUAAAGUAAAUACAUUAUUUUUAUAUGUUACUUUAACUUGUUUCACUUAUUUUAAUUCUUCAAUGUAAAGAUGAAAGAUUUGAAAAUGCAUAAGUUUCUAAUUAUUUUUUUAUUUUAUUUUAUAGUUUUUACAAUACAACCAAACAUAAUAAAAUCAUUUUCUUUAAUUUUUUUUCUUUUCUUAAUACUUUUCACGAACCCUUAAGUUAUGUUUGGUUUGCAGAAAAUAUGAGGAACAGAAAAUAGAAAAGAAAAUUAAAAGGAAAGAAAAAGUGAAGUAAAAUAAAAAUAAAUUUAAAUUUAAUAAAUUAUUUUUAUAUGCUACUUUAAACUUAUUUCACUUAUUUUAAAUUAUUUAAACUCAUUUCUAAUAAAUAAUAAUGGAAAUUGUAGAGAAGUUUGUGUUAUUCAAGCUUUGCAAUGACUUUUCAAGGUGAAGGAAAAUAUUCUUGCUGAAAUUGAAGAAGGAAAUACCUUCUUAAAUAGCCUAUUGACCGAAAACACAUUACCCUAACAUAUACACACACCUUUAUUAUUUAUACAAUCAUUUAAUACUUAAUCCCGUUAGUGGGAUUCUAGUGGUUGUUUCUAUCUUGGUUUCCAAUAUUUCUGAUUGAUAGUGUUGGAUUAAUGAAAUAUCAUAAAUUUUGACCCCAAUAAGGACCAAUCCCUAUUAAAUGUAAUUGGGUUGACCUAAGACUAAAUGUUAGACCCAACUAAUAAAAACCCAUCUGUUUGUUGGAGUCUAAAUAACCCAGCCUUAGGUAGGGCCCAUGCCUUAUUAUUUUAAGAUGUAGUCCAACUGGUUUGACACUGGAUUGAGUAAAGCCCAACUUAUGAGCAUCUGUGCAUUUCCAUCCAUCCACAACCUACUGGCAUGGACAAACUUUGGUCAAUUAAACCUAUUAUAAAUGUAUACAAAAUUUUAAGUUCAAAAGAUAAUUUUUCUUAUUUAGUUAGGAUUCAUAUUAAAAAGGCACAAAGCACGAAUUUUCAUGUUUAAAUUCACAAAUAUCACGAAAGCUCCUUCAAGCUCUAUGGACCAUUUUAUUUGUAACAUUAUAUUACUCUUAAUUAUCAAAUUAACCAACAAAUUCUUCUCAUUAGUUAUUUUUCUUUUGUAGUGUCAUAAAAUUUGAUGUAAAGUAAUAUUGGUCAUCAUUUCAACUUUCAUGUUCCAAUUAGAUGCAUCAAGCAUGUGCAACAUAUUUGAUAUAACUAAUAUUUUUAUAAGUAAUUGAAUUUUUUUUUCUAUAAAUCAAUUAACUUGAUUAUCAAUGAAUACUUUCAUACAUGAUAUUGAUGUAGUUUCAUAAAUAUUUUUAAAUAGUCAUAGAAGUCUUUUAUCUGAUUCACUAGAAAGAAAAAUAAACUAUUCUAAUGAAAAUACUUGAUGAUUUGAAGUGAUUGCUUUUGAUUUUAUUUGAUUGCUACCAUUAUUAAUUGUUAGAAAUUGGCAACAAAUACCCAUUUUGCAUCACUUCUAUAUGCAUCGAGGGAAUGAAUUAUAUUUCAUAGAGCUAACAGGGCAAAACUCAUACUUUUGGAAUUAUGGAAAAGGUUGCUAGAAAGCUAAUUAACAAUUUAUAUUAUGAUUAAGACUAGUUGGGUUAGAAAUAAUUCAUAUGGAGAUUAAAAAAAACUAUGUAAUUUAGUUUAGUAGCUUGGGUGCUAUUGUAAUGAUUAAUGAUCUGCAACUUGAACACAUCUACUAGUGCUUUCUACUUGUAUAGCUAAAUUUAUGUUACCACUUUGAACUACAGUACUUACAUGAGAAGAAAGCUUUUCCUUAGUGAUAAUGCAAAAGAAAUUAAGUAUCAAUUUUUGUUAAACUAACAAGUGAUAGUUUAGAUAUGUUUUGAAUACACUUCCUUUCUUCUAUUUUUUUAUUUUGAAAAAAAAAACUCUUUAAUGAAAUAUAAGAAAUCUUAUAUGUAUAAAAAGUAAAGACUUAAACAAAAAAAUUCUUCAAAUUUUAAAAAUUUCGAGAAGUAUUUUUAAGAAUUUGUAUUUUUAGUAUAAUAAUUCCUAUAUUUUGUAUAAAAGCUUUUGUUCAAAAAAAUAGAAGUGUAUCCAAAUUAAAAAUUAAUGGUUAAAUUAAGAAUGUUUCUCAGAUCAAGGGAUAAUGAAAGUUGUAGAGAGUUUGCAUUACUCAACCUUUGCAACUACUUUUUGAAGGUAAAAGAAAAUACCUUCUUACAUAACAUACAAUGGCAAGUUCUGGUUUGUAAGAAACUAAUAAAUGAUUAAGAAUAUGAAUAAGACUUCCUUAAUAAUAGAUAUGUAGAGAAGAAUAGUGGAUGAUAGGAGGUGAAAAUCUUGUAAUAAAAUAUCAAUAUCGGUUAUAAGAUAAUCAACAUUUUCUUGUACCUAUGUGAUUAAGAAUCUUGUAGCUCCCUUAUUGAAAUAUAAUAUAAAAAUAUAAAUAAACUAUUUAGAAGUGCAUGUAGUUUUCAACAUGAGGAAGUUCAAAAGCAAGUUAAUUAUGAUAAUUUUCUAUAGUCUAUAUUGAACACAAAUUAUUUUUUCUAAAGGUUCAAUCGUUCUAUGAAGGUUAAAAGUUUGAAUUGUUUACAUAUGCAAAUGUGAAAUUUGAAAUUUUAUAAUGUUUUAUAAUUUUCUUGUAGAUUCAAAAAACUUGUCCAUAUUCAAAAAGCUCGAGACCUUGAACCUCAAUCACAACAAGUUCAAAAACACUAGCCUACAACAAUUGAAUAUAUUUACAUCCCUUAAAAAUCUUUCUCUAAGACGGAACUAUGAUGGAGGAUUUUUUCCGAUCCAAGGUAUGUGUAAUUAUUAUUAUUAUUUUUAAUGAUAAAAUAUUAGAAUUGUCAACAUCUUUUAUCUUUUUUCCCCUCAAUGGUGUUGCAGAAUUAUGCACUCUAGAAAACUUGGUGAUGUUGGACCUAAGUGGGAAUUUCUUUAUUGGCAUGCAAGGUAAAUACAAAGUGAAGUUUUGGUUAUAUAUAUAUAUCAUGUAAGAACAUAACUAAAAUCAACAUUCUUUGCCUAUCAAUUUGUGCAUGACUAUUAUUUAGUUAUUCUUCGUAACAUAAUUGAAAGAAUGUUUAGGUGUAUAACAUUUAAGAAUUUUACAUGGCACAAUGAAAAACAUGGUAAUCAAUGUAUGCAAUAAAAUUCUAAUAGUUGAAAAAGAAUUUUCUUGUAAUUUUAUGUUCGUGUAUAGUAAUCAAAGAGAAAAUCAUGAAAAUGUAUAUUAGUUAGACUUUAUAUAUCAAUAGACAAAAAAGAAAGAAAAAAGAUUAGUUCCUUAACUUAUCCUAAAAUUUUCUAGAUAACAAGGAGUUUUUUUAUUUUGGGCUAUAAGAUUUACAACCUGAAAAGUGAAGAUGAUUAAUAUUAGUAAUAUAAUUUUGAAAUAUAAAAAUUAAUGAAAUAAUGUUCUCUAUAACUAUAACUGCAACUGCAACUAUUAAUAAAAGAUAAUAAAAGUACUUUAGACUUUGAAUCCAUGGUUAGGUUUGCAAUUUUUUGAUGAUCAAUAAAGCUACAACUUAUGCUGCAAAAGGCUAUACAAAAUGUAUUAGGAGCAUUGCUAAGCUCAUUUAUCAAUAAAAGAAAUCCAGUAAUACUUUGAUUGGAAAAAACCUAGAAUCAUGUUUGAUAUAUAUAAUAGGAGAAGAAACAAAAUAACAAUUCCAUGGUAUUAGUUAGUUUGAUAUCCCUUUUGUUAUAUGGAAUAACUAUUCCAUUUUAAAAUAAUUAUUUCAUCUUAUCGCUAGAACAAAAAAUUUCAAGCAAUUAUAUGCGCUUUUGGGUUUCUUAAGAAUUUAAGCAUUUAUGGGUCACCCAUAUAUACAUAUAUAUAUAUAUAUAUAUAUAUAUAUAUGUAGGAAGAAUAAAAAAAAAUAUUAUACGGAGACAAGGGUAGACACCCAUAUAUAUAUAUAUAUAUAUAUAUAUAUAUAUAUAUGUAGGAAGAAUAUAAAAAAAUAUUAUAUGGAGACAAGGGUAGACACCCAUAAAUGUACAUAUAAUUAUUUAAAUAAAAAAUCAAUAAGAAACAAUAUACAACAAAAUAGAAAAUUUUAAUCUUCUUAAAUUUUAAAAAUAAAAACUAAAUGAAAAAAAAUUAAGAAGUAAAAAUAAUAAUAAAAAGGUCAAGAAUACAAAUAGAGAAGUAAACAAAAAAAAUACAUAAAUUAAAAUUAAAAUUUAAAAGAAAAAAUACAUAGAUUAAUAUGAACACUAAAUGAGGUUUUUUGAGAUAGACUUAGUUAGACCUGAACCAGAUGGAUAUUAAAAAAAAUAAAAAAAAAUUGAAAGAAAUAAAAACUAAUUAGAUGCUAAAUAUUGGAUUAAAAUAACCAAAUGAAUAAAGAGUAAUUAUUAAUUUUUAACAUUUUUUAUUCCCUAGAAUUAUUAUUUUGUGUAUUAAAUGUAUUCUGAGUGUAGUGGUAUAAAAAAUGUAGUUAAGAAUACUAUGAAGAAUAAUAAUGGUGAUGAUAAUGGUGACGACACUUAAUACCUUUUAUUGUACGUUUAGAAAAAAUGAGGUUCUUGAUCUUUAUGGAGAUUAUCAUUACUCAUCCGCAAGCAUGUUGAUAGUUGAAACUACUCAAUUAUCAAAAAUUGAAUUUCUAACCUUCAAUUUUUCUCUCUCAAAUGUAUAUGUGGGUGAGAAAGCACUAGGAAGAUUAUAAGGUCUCACAUGUAUAUGAGUCAUAGGAUAAAAAAUAUAGAGACAAUACUAGCAUUUAUUUGAUCUAGUGGCAAAUAGAGAAAUAUAAAAUAACCAUAACCAUAAUGUUCUAACCUUAUAUAUACCAGAACCAUGUUUCCUUCAUUCAAUGUUGCAACUUUUUCUUUUCAAAUUAGAAUGUAACUUGUAGGAUCCAUUGCCCAUCAAAAUUUUGAAUCGAAUAUUAUAAGAUAUUUCACAUUUCUACCUACUAAAGCAUGAGCUUCAAUGUUCUCAUGCACUUUUGGCUACUAAGUUAAAGAACCCUUUGAGGAUUAAUGGAGUUUCUAUGAGUAGCAAAGCAUUAUAAUCAGAAAGUCUUAUCAGUGAUAUGCAAUUUGACCAAGAACUUAUUCCCAACUAUUUUAUGAAUUUUAUGACUUUUCUUGGCUACUUGUAGGCAAGCUAAAGAAAUUUUCUGGUUUGUUCAAGUCUAAAAAGUGGUUUCAAGUUUAGGGCCAAGCUUGGGCUGCACCUAGGUCCUUGGGCCUUGUUCAGCUCCACGUUUAAACCAACCUUGAGUCCAUCUUUGUAAUUUUUCUCCCAAUUCAUUGAUUAAUAUUAGGAUUUUAUAGAGCCUAUAAAUUGACCAACUAAAUAAAGUAGGUUCAUAAACUUUUAGGUGAAAAUUUUCUCUUUAAUAAAUGUUAAUUCAAGAGUCUCCGUAAUCUUUUUAUAUUCAUAUUAAUUGGUAUUUAAACCGACCUUACUAUAUUAAAGUCAAAUACCAAAUAGUGAACACUAUAUCUACUACUACCACUAUGAUGGUCACAAACAUAGAAUGCUCCAUUUUUUAGAGUCAAUUGAUGCUUAUAAACAACUUUGUUUGAAAAUAAAACACAUCGAGUGAUUGCAUCAAGAGAUUGAUGUAAUAAUUGCAUACUUGAUCUAGAUAAUGUUAAUAUGAGUUGACUAAAUAAAUGAGUAUUUACUUAUAAGGUAGCCCAUAGAACAUUAUUUGUGGAAAUAUUCAUGCACCUCUACAUAUGUUCAUGAUAACUUAGGUUGAUAAAUUUAAGAAGAACAAAUUCAUAACCUUGGGCAUAGUUAGUAAGAAAUUUCACCAAUAGAGUUUGGUAUCAUGAUUCUAAUUGUUCAAAUUGUUUUAAAGGAGUAUUUUAAAUUGCAUGUUAAUUUGCUUCUAAUAAAUGGAGAGAAACCAAUUCAAGAAGAGAAUUGUACUCAAGCUAUGUAUAGCAUUCAUGAAGAUGUAGAAAAUAUUGAUGAACUUACUUUUGAGCAAGUUGAAAUCAUAAUUAAAUAAAAUAACAAACCCAAGGGUUAAGAUUGUCAAGUAAAACUUUAAUUAAAAUUUAUUGAUUUUUUAAAUGCCUAUUAGAGGAGCAAUAGAAGUUCUAGAUAGAAAGUAAGAACUUUUCUAAGGAAUCACUUGUUAGAUUUUAAGUGAUCAAUAAAUAUAAUGUCCAAUUUAAAACUUUUAUAAAAGCAAUGGUUCUAAAGAAUAACUUGAUUUGAAUUUAAAGUUAUUAUUGAUAUUUAUUUAUAAUGGAUGUAGUUAAUCAAUUGAACAUAGUAAAAAACACAUAAUUUUUUCAAAAUACCUUCUAAUUGUUGGGUAUAUUUAAGUAGUUAUUCAUAUCUCAUUAUCUUUUUACUCACAUACUAAUCUCCUUAUUGAGUAUUUACCAAUUACAAGUAGGUUGAAAGUUACUUGAAUUUAAGUCACUAAUCAAUGUUAACUUGAUGACAAAUAAGUCUCCCUUUGAAACUUGUUUUAUAACAUAGCGAAAUGUAGUCGAUCAAUCAUCAAAACAAUGUUUAAGCAUUGGGAUUUAGUUGUUAAUUUUUAUUUUUUAUUUUUUGUGCUUAAACAAAGACAAAAAUUAUAAAAACUCCUGAAAAGUACAUAUUAAUUGAAUUUAAUUUAUACAUCAAACAAGAACAAACUAGUCUUGGAUUUAAAAUUCAAUAGGUUUUGUAAUUAUAAUUCCUAAAAAUUUGUAAGACAACAAAAUUAUUGGACACUAGGCUAUUGGGUGUGUAUGACUAAGAGGUGAAGGAGGGUUCAUCUUAUACAAAGGAUGAUUUGAUUAAUUUUAAAGAUUGAAUAAACAAUAAUUGCAUAUUCAAGUAAAAAUAACAUUGCUAAAAAGGAAAAUAAGUAUUUUAGUCCUCAAACCUAAAAUGGCUAAAAAAUUUAAUUAAUACAAUUACAACUUCACCUACAAAAAAAAAAAAAAAAAAAUACCCAAAACUUUUCAAUAGCACAACUAAGUCCAUUUAUCAAAAGCUCUAUGAACAACAACAACUAUCAAAUCACAUAAAUCAUGUUGUUUACAAAGUGCCCUUGAUGUUUUAAAACAUAAGAUAUUACAUAAAAAUCAACCAAUAGUGUAUGACAUUAUAAAAAACAUAUCCAAAUCCAUUGUCGAACUUAAACUAAAUUCAACUUUAUAUACAUAGUCGCAAGUGGGUCUUUUUGUCUUUCAAUUUGGGUCAAAUUCAGAUGUUAGUUUUUUACACAACAAGGGAUUAUCAAGGUGAUAAUUCAUGCAUAUAAAUAGUAUUACUUAUAUAAAAAAAAUGGUAAAUGCAAUUUUUUUGUAUUCACUCACCAUUUGGCAUAUCAAUAAGAAAAAAAUAUAUACAAUAGGUGCUAUCAAUAAUAUUAUGCAUCACUAGAAAUUAUAAUUUUUCAUUUGUUAUCACUACUUGUGCACUUUGGAAAGCUUGCUAGGUACAACAAAUUAGCUCAGUGAAGAAAUUGAUCAAUUCCUUCAUUUCUAAAUAAAUUUGCAUAUACACUAGAAUAAAAACAACUUUUUAACUUAACAAGUUGACUGAGUCUCAGAACUUAGUAGGUUGAAGGCAUAGACUUCCAUCCAAGCUCAUUUACUGGCACCACAUGUUGGAAAAAUAAAGAAAAAUCAAAACACUUGAGUAUAGUUGCAAACCAAUCUAAAUAUAGAGUGAGAUCUACCUUUCUUUGAAAGUUUAGAACAAAUUUUUAUUUUUAUGAUAAGACUAUGCAGUACUUAUCCCUCUCUAACAAGUCUAUAAUCAGUCCAAAGCAUGGGAUAUUGCAUAUUUCUUGAACUCAAUUAGCCUUUAAUCCAUGCAUUUCAAGUAAAUUUAAAACCUGGUGUACUUGUUCUUGAUUCACAUCCUUGUCACUAUUAUCAUUACUUGUUCUUGAAUAUAGAACCUUAUUGUCCAUUAACAAGCGGGCCUAUGUUCCUCCAUGAUUCAAGAGUAUUAUGUUUUGUUCAUCAUCAGUUGGUCUUGCUCUAAAGCUUCUUUUUUAUGACUAUCAAUAACCAGACUUAGAUACCAAAAUUUAUGCAAGAGAGCAUGUACUUUAUACAGUCAAGAACUUGUGAGUCUAGACUUUGUUAUCUAGGUAAAAGAAUAAAUUGGUUUGUUAAAAUAGCUAGCAUUAGGUAUCUAUUCAAUUCCUAUCUUAGACAAUAAAGAUACAAAUGAUCAAAUACAUUCUUAUUAAGAAACAUUUGAUACCAAAAGUGAUGUAAGACAACACAGUUCCUCUAUUCAAUCAAGUUUAAGGCUUAGAUGAACCUAUGAAUUUAUAUUAAUUAAUUGGGAAAGAGAAUAAAUAGGCUAAGUAGAAGUGAUAGGAUUGUAAUAGCAUUAAGUUAAUGAUCUUGUUUAGGUCUUCUACUAAAUUAGAGAAGAAACAAACAAAAGUAAUCAAACGUGUUAGUGAUAAUUAUAUCUACUUAACAUUGAGACAAUAGUUGUACUAAUGGUAAUUAUAUUAUUUCUUGAGAGUUUAAACAAUAUAUAUUGAAAAUAUUUUUAAAGGUUUAGCAACUACCAAGGUUAUAAUCAACUACGAGCUUUUUAUUUUUAAAAAUAUGAAAUAUUAAUAUCUUUACUUUCUUUGAUCUUCUUGUAGGUUUUAAAAGUUUGUCUAAGCUGAAAAAGCUGGAAAUCUUAAACCUUCGUGAUAAUCAGUUCAACAAGACCAUUAUAAAACAGUUGAGUGGACUCACAUCCCUUAAAACACUAGUUGUAAGCUACAACUAUAUUGAGGGACUUUUUCCUUCCCAAGGUAUUGCUUAUUCUUUUAAUAUCCUUAGUAACCACUCUACCAUGAUUUUUUUUUUUUUCAAUUUUAUUUUCUUUCUUGAACCAUACAGAAUUAUCUAUUUUUGGAAACUUGAUGACACUGGAUUUAAGAGAUAAUAGACUCAAUGGCUCCCUAUCAAUCCAAGGUAAAUUCUAAUCAGAAUUAUCAUUAUAUUUAGGGCAUAUAAUAAAUUAAUUAAAUUAUUUUAUCUAUUAUCAUUACUUGGUUAUUUGGAUUUUCUUGAUAUUGUUUAGCAUUUUACAUAGGAAAAUGAAAUGGAAAAAUCAACCCAUGCUUAGUGUUUAAGCACUGGGCUAGAAGUAUAUUUGUCUUCCCAAUUUAAUCAAAGAGAAAAGUCAUAAAUAACAUAAUUUAACUUAUACCUUAUAUUGAUUGAAGAGGUUAGACUACUUUUGGAUUUAAUGGUCAAUAUUUGUUGAAGAUAGGGUUUCCUAAAUUUGAUAAAAAGAACUUCAAUUUAAAUUACCAUAACUACAUAAAGGUGUGACUAGCAUAAUUAAACUCUUUUAUUAAUAGAUGUUCAUAGACUAGUAUUAUAAUCCCACAUGCACAAAUAAUCAAAUUUUGAAAUUAGACUUCAAAUAACUAUGCAAUAUACGAAACUACAAAAUGAAUGGUAGGUCAUAAUUAAUUAAAUUCGUACUAUAUUCAAUGUUGGUCAACACGUGUCAAGUAAAAGUUUUGGCCUAAGUGUAAGGGCUCACUUGCUCCAAUAUAUAUGUUAUUCACUUUGGGUCAAGGCCUACUUUAAAAUAUCUAUACAUUUAUGAGAUAUUUUAAAAUGUAAAAUGAUAGGUUUUGAUCAUUUUUAAAGGUAGCAAACAUUUUAUUUUAUUUGUAUUUAAGAACAACGUCUUUUCUUAUACAAUGUUUAUUUAAUUUUCUUUUGAUAGAUUUUGCAAGCUUAAGCAAUUUGGAGAUAUUGGAUUUGAGUUAUAAUUCCUUCAAUGGAAUUGUUUCAUCAUCUAUAAGAUUAAAGUCUUCUCUCAAGUCUUUAUCCUUGGCUGGAAAUAGACUCAAUGGUUCUUUACAAUGUCAAGGUAGGAAACAUUUAAUUUUAUUUGUAUUUAAGAACAAUGUCUUUUCUUAUAUAAUGUUUUUUUAAUUUUCUUUUGAUAGAUUUUGCAAGCUUAAGAAAUUUGGAGAUAUUGGAUUUGAGUUAUAAUUCCUUCAAUGGAAUUGUUUCAUCAUCUAUAAGAUUAAAGUCUUCUCUCAAGUCUUUAUCCUUGGCUGAAAAUAGACUCAAUGGUUCUUUUCAAUAUCAAGGUACAUAUGUUAUGCUUUCUUUGUUUCAUAAAGAUUAGACAAGAUAAACAUUGUGAAAAAAAGGUUGUCAUAGUUAAUGUAAAAUGAUAGGUUUUUGAUCAUUUUUAAAGGUGGCAAACAUUUUAUUUUAUUUGUAUUUAAGAACAAUGUCUUUUCUUAUACAAUGUUAUUUUAAUUUUCUUUUGACAGAUUUUGCAAGCUUAAACAAUUUGGAGAUAUUGGAUUUGAGUGGUAAUUUCUUCAAUGGAAUUGUUUCAUCAUCUAUAAGAUUAAAGUCUUCUCUCAAGUCUUUAUCCUUGGCUAGUAAUAGACUCAAUGGUUCUUUUCAAUAUCAAGGUACAUAUGUUAUGAUUUCUUUGUUUCAUAAAGAUUAGACAAGAUAAACAUUGUGAAAAAAAGGUUGUCAUAGUUAAUGUAAAAUGAUAUGUUUUGAUCAUUUUUAAAGGUGGCAAACAUUUUAUUUUAUUUGUAUUUAAGAACAAUGUCUUUUCUUAUACAAUGUUAUUUUAAUUUUCUUUUGACAGAUUUUGCAAGCUUAAACAAUUUGGAGAUAUUGGAUUUGAGUGGUAAUUUCUUCAAUGGAAUUUUUUCAUCAUCUAUAAGAUUUAAGUCUUCUCUCAAGUCUUUAUCCUUGGCUGUAAAUGGACUCAGUGGUUCUUUACAAUAUCAAGGUACAUAUGUUAUGCUUUCUUCGUUUCAUAGAGAUUAGAGAGGAUAAACAUUGUAAAAAAAAAAAAGUUGUCAUAGUUAAUGCAAGCUAAAACUAAAAAACUUGCUUUUUCAAUUAUGUAAGCAUGUUUUGUUCUUGAUGAAUCUUUACAACAUUCAAAGUUACUAAUAUUUAUAAUUCAUAGAGACCUCAUUAACAACCACUAACAACUAAUUGUAAGUAACUAUGAAAAAAGUAAGGACAAAAAUGAGGGAAAAGCAAGGAAAGUGACAAAUUUUUUCAUCCCCAUAAAAAAUGCUAAGGAAGAAAAAGGUGAAGAAAAUUUAAAGAAAGUAUAUUUUUCAAAAAUUAAAUUUUCUUUCCCUUAAAGUUGGUAUGGACAACCAAACAAGAAAAUGAUUUUGAAAUUCUUUUUUGACUUUUUUCUUUCAUUUUUUUUCCUACUCUAUUUUCUUUCCCUCAAACUUUCUAGGUAGUAAACAUUACCUAAGACAAAUAGGGAAGAAAAUAUUUUAUCAUUUAUUUAUUUAGCAUUUUUCUUACAUUUUUUGUAUUUUAUCCAAAUAUAAGAAAACUAUUUUUCUUUAUUUUUUCUUUUCCUUGUUGCGUUUCAAGAAUCAAGCAUACUUUAAACUCUAAUUAAGAGUUACAUAGAUUUACGAAGAAACGAUGCAACUGGUAACAAAAAAUUAAGGAAAUUUAAUUUUUGAGAGUAAGUAUAAUGAGAUUGGUUUGUUUGAUACAAAAUUUGAAUAAAAAUUCUUUUAAUGAAAAUUCAAGGAAAGGAAAAAAAAAACAACUUUAUCUCUAGACUAUAAUACUAAAUCAAUUAAAAAAAAUCUCCUAACAUCGUUUAUGUUCAUCUUUCUUUUUAUGGAUUUGAAAAACUCAAUAAUUUGGAGAAAACUGAUUUAAGGAAGAAUAUUUUUUAGAGUAAAAGAUUAUUAUUUAAGAAUAUCAUAAAUAUUAUAGUCAUUGUUGAAUAUGAUAAAUGAUAAAUAAAAAAUAAAAAAUAAAUAAAAAGUCGUUGGAAAUUUAGAUACUUUUAUGGAAAGAUAGACAAAGUGCUCUAGUUUAUAAUACUAAUGCACUUUUCUAAUUUGAUAUGAAAAAAGGUAAAACGAUAGGUUUUGAUCAUUUUUAAAGGUAGUUUGUUUAAAUCAUUUUAAUUUAUUUUGAUUUAUGAACAAUAACUUUUAUUACACUAGUUAUUUUGAUUUUCUUUUGAUAGAUUUUGCAAGCUUAAGCAAUUUGAAGGUAUUGGAUUUGAGUUAUAAUUCAUUUAGUGGGAUCGUUCCAUCAUCUAUAAGAUUGAUGUCUUCUCUCAAGUCUUUAUCUCUGGCUGGAAAUGACCUCAAUGGUUCCUUACCAAAUCAAGGUACAUAUAUUGAGAUUACAGGUUUUUCUGUUUUCUUUUUUAAUAUCUUGUUUGUUCUUUAUGCCAAUGAAGUCAUGCAUGUCUAUUAAUUUUUGGUAUUUAAUGAAAAACUUUAUUCUUAAUUCAUAAAGACCUCAUCAACUGUGAGUAACAGCUAGUUGUAAGUUUGGGGGCAUUGACAAGACGAGGAGAUGAUUGGUUACAUGUCUUAUUCUCUUUUGUAGGCUUUUUCCAAUUGAAUAAGCUUCAAGAGUUGGAUCUUAAUUACAACUUAUUCCAAGGGAUCCUUCCUCAAUGUUUGAAUAAUUUGACAUCUCUAAGGUUAUUAGAUCUCUCUUCCAACCUAUUCUCCGAAAAUCUUUCUUCCACUCUGUUACCUAAUCUCACAUCCCUGGAGUACAUUGAUCUCAGUUACAAUCAAUUUGAGGGUUCAUUCUCUUUCAGCUCUUUUGCUAAUCACUCCAAGCUUCAAGUGGUCAUACUUGGAAGUUAUAACAACAAAUUUGAGGUAGUUGGAAGGGAUAACAACAAAUUUGAGGUAGAAACUAAAUAUCCAGUUGGUUGGGUUCCCCUGUUUCAGUUGAAACCUCACCGGUGACCUUCCUGGUUUUCUUCAAUACCAAUUUAGAUUAACGGCAGUUGAUCUCUCCCAUAAUAACUUGACAGGAAGUUUCCCCAAUUGGCUGCUUGAAAACAAUACGAGAUUGGAAUUUCUGCUCCUGAGGAAUAACUCUUUAAAGGGUCAACUACUUCUCCUAGGACCUAAUACCCUGAUCAGUUCGUUGGAUAUCUCACACAAUCAGUUGGAUGGACAACUUCAAGAAAAUGUGGCCCAUAUGAUUCCAAAUAUUUGGAAGUAUUCCCAAUUCAAUCUCUAGACUUCUAGAGCUAAGGAUUCUUUUGCUAAGAGGAAACCUUUUAAGUGGUUUCAUUCCAUAUCGACUUUGUCAUUUGACUAAAAUAAGCUUGAUGGAUCUUUCAAACAACAAUUUUUCUGGGUUAAUUCCUGGAUGCUUUGGUCAUAUCGGAUUUGGAGAUUUCAAAACUGAGCACAAUGUGUAUAUACCGAUGUUGGAUUCAUAUUCAGAAAGCAAUCCUUCUAUAUAUACGGGUUACUUAAUAAAAUAUUUAUUUUUCUCUAGUGAACUCCCUGAUAAAGUAGAUGAAGUUAAGUUUGUUACCAAGAAUAGGUAUAGCUCCCACAUAGUAGAUAAAAAUAUUUGUUCGGAAUUUAGAUAUUUUUAUAGAAAAGUAGACAAGUAUUCUAAUUUAUAAAAACAAUGCAUUUCUUUAGUUUGGUAUAAAAAAAUGAAAUGAUAGGUAUUGGUAAUUUUUUUUAAAGUAGCAAACGUUUUAUUUUAUUUGUAUUUAAGAAAGAUGUCUUUUCUUAUACUAGUUAUUUUAAUUUUCUUUUGACAGUUUUUGCAAGCUUAAGCAAUUUGGAGAUACUAGAUUUGAGUUCUAAUUCCUUAAGUGGGAUUAUUCCAUCAUCUAUAAGAUUGAUGUCUCAUCUCAAGUUUUUAUCGCUGGUCGGAAAUCACCUCAAUGGUUCUUUACAAAAUCAAGGUACAUAUGUUAUGAUUUGUUUGUUUCAUAUAGAUUAGAGAAGAUAAAUAUUGUAAAAAAAAAAAGUUGUAGUUAAUGUAAGUUAGAAAAAAGUAUCUUGCCUUAUAAAUUAUAUAAGCACGUGUUUGUUCUUAAUGAAUCUUUACAACAUUUAGAGUUACCAAUCUUUAUAAUUCAUAAAGACCUCAUAAACACUGAGUAACAACUAAUUGUAAGUAAUUGUGGAAAAGUAAGGAAAACAAAUUGCUUCAUUUGAUACAAAAUUCGAAUAAAAAUUCUUUUAAUGAAAACUCAAGGAAAGGAAAAAACAUUUUUAUCUCUAGAUUAUAAUACUAAAUCAUGUAAAAAAUCUCGUAACAUCAUUUAUAUUCAUAUUUCUUUUUAUAGAUAUGAAAAAUUCAACAAUUUGGAAUAAACUUAUUCAAUGAAGAAUAAUUUUUAGAUUUAAAGAUUAUUAUUUAAGAAGAUCGUAAAUAUUACCAUCAUUGUUGAUGUCUAAGAAGAUCAUAUUCAACAAUUUUUUUAAUAUGUUGUUUUCUAUGGUAAUUAAUUGAUGUCUUGUAAUUUUUAAUAUUUAAUGAAAAACAUUAUUUUAAUUCAUCUAGAGCUCUUAAUUCAUGAAGACCUCAUUAACGGUGAGUAAUAGUUGGCUGUAAGUUUGGAGUCAAAGACAUUUCAAGGAGAUGAUUAGUUACAUGUCUUGUUCUCUUUUGUAGGUUUCUGCCAAUUGAAUAAGCUUCAAGAGUUAGAUCUUUCUUACAACUUAUUCCAAGGGACCCUUCCUCCAUGUUUGAAUAAUUUGACAUCUCUGAGGUUAUUGGAUCUCUCUUCCAACCAUUUAUCCGGAAAUCUUUCUUCGCCUCUGUUACCUAAUCUCACAUCCCUGGAGUAUAUCGAUCUCAGUUACAAUCAUUUUGAGGGUUCAUUCUCUUUCAGCUCUUUUGCUAAUCACUCCAAGCUUCAAGUGGUCAUACUUGGAAGUGAUAACAACAAAUUUGAGGUAGAAACUGAAUAUCCAGUUGGUUGGGUUCCCCUGUUUCAAUUGAAGGCUCUUUUCCUAUCCAACUGCAAGCUCACCGGUGACAUUCCUGAUUUUCUUCAAUACCAAUUCAAAUUAGAGGUGGUUGAUCUAUCCCAUAAUAACUUGACAGGAAGGUUCACCAAUUGGUUGCUUGAAAACAACACGAGACUAGAAUUUCUAGUCCUAAGGAAUAACUCUUUAAUGGGUCAACUACUUCCCCUGAGACCUAAUACCCGUAUCCUUUCAUUGGAUAUCUCACACAAUCAGUUGGAUGGACGACUUCAAGAAAAUGUGGGCCAUAUGAUUCCAAAUAUUGUGUUUCUAAAUUUAUCCAACAAUGGUUUUGAAGGUCUUCUCCCAUCCUCAAUAGCUGAAAUGAGUUCCUUAAGGGUGUUGGAUUUGUCUGCCAAUAAUUUCUCAGGAGAAGUACCAAAGCAGUUGCUUGCAACAAAAGAUUUGGUGAUUCUAAAAUUAUCAUAUAAUAAAUUUCAUGGUGAAAUAUUUUCAAGGGACUUUAACAUGACUGGGUUGGAUAUUUUGUAUUUAGACAAUAAUCAGUUCAUGGGAACUCUGUCAAAUGUAAUCUCCGGAAGCUCUCAGUUAAUGGUGUUGGAUGUGAGCAACAACUACAUGUCAGGUGAAAUUCCAAGCGGGAUAGGUAACAUGACAGAAUUGAGAACAUUGGUCAUGGGCAACAAUAAUUUUAGAGGCAAAUUACCACCUGAGAUUUCUCAAUUGCAACAGAUGAAGUUUCUUGACGUUUCUCAAAAUGCUCUUUCAGGAUCUCUUCCUUCUUUGAAGAGCAUGGAGUAUUUAGAGCAUCUACAUUUGCAAGGGAACAUGUUUACAG